GCUUGUGGAUGAACCUUUAAUCUUUUGAAUGACCUCCCUCACUCUUUUUCUUUAUUACUUUUUUGACUUUUGUGAGAGAGGCAUAGAUAUUAACGAAUAUAGCUCUUCAUAAUGAUGAAAUUUGCAGGGUCAAUGACAACAAAGCGCUUUUGAGUCUUCUUUUAACUUGAUGAUUGUGCAUUUGUGCUUAUGGAAUAAUCAACUACUGUGGGAUAGUGAGAGAUGUGAUUAUAGGUAGGUGGUUAGGUAGGUAUGGUGUGAACACAUGGAAGAAAUGGUUUAUUUUCUGGGAUCUGUAUAUGUACACCAGCAGAGUUUCCUGAUGAAGGAAUGCAAUGACGAGUCUUGAAGAGGCUAGACAACAAAAGUUACGCAAAUGGAAUGACUGGAUUUCAAAGACUUCAGACUAGAGGAACAUCAAACUUAACAAUACGCACUAGAAAUUCAGAUUGCAAUAAUCAAAGGCUUACGAAAUAUGCUGUUUUUGGCAAUGGUGGGACAGAACAAAAUACUCGGGAUGAAGAAGAGAAUAAAAUCACCUUCACCAUACUAAAUUCAGGAGGUUCUAGGAAUAAAAAUUAGCAAGCUCAAGUCUUUUUUUGCUCAAUCAAUGUUCAUCAAUCACCUAGUAACAAGUGUUCUCUACCUUUACCACUAUAUGUAUCAGCUGAAAACUCUCUUGUGUAACUUAAUUCAGCAUGACAAUGCAUUCAGAGAUUAUGAGUGUGCUCAAAAGCUAGACUGCCAACUUAUCAAGAAAGCAGGAAGUUGUCUAACAUAGGUCUCAUGAGGCAAUAAGAGUUCGACAAUUGCACACUGAAUUCAAUCUACCAUAGCUAAACCCAUCACGAAUUUCAGCAGGGGUUUACUGACCUUUCCACAAAUCUGCUACUGCUGCAUUGUUCAAUUCCAAAGUUGUCCACGGACCACGUCUAUUCAGCAACCAAGAAGCUUAGUUCAGCCUAAAAAGUUCGGAACGUAAGACAAAUACACGAGUCCUUUUAGACUUUUGUAAGAGUGUGAAUAGACAAGGCAUACCAAUUAGUGAAAGCCCGAGAUCUCAAUGUGCUCCACGCAAGCACUCACAUGGUAAGAAAGGUAUUCUGGUAAAAUGUUCCUGUAAUUAACAAAAUUUCAUUUAGCAACAAAGCUUAUGACAAAUGCAGGUACACCUCCUAUCCUAUCAAUAUAGCAUCGAACUGAAGAAACUGCACACCUUAGUUUCAAUAGCAAAUCAGCAAAAUAUCAGUUAUUCCCMCAUUAUGAUCCUCACAGCUUAACAAGUACACCAGCAAGUUUUGGUGAAUGAUGACCAAUAUCUCGAAACCAACCAGAACAAGCAUAAGAAUAUCUGCACAACAAAUAAAAUUUUGAAUUCAUUAUAAAAUCGUUCAUGAAGGAAGAGAAGGAAAUUCUGAAUGGCAUCAGCUGAGGAUCAAGUUGAUUUUUUUUUUGAUAUUUCUCGGUUCAAAAAAAAAACAUCUAGGUAUCCGUAAUAUCGUUGAAGGAGUUGAGCAUGUACUUACCAGAUUUAUGUAUGAUGUGCAGUAAGAAGAUGCCACAAAAGAUCCCCAUGUGUGAACUUUGCAUAAACAGGGAGGACUCGACAAGGCUAAAAAAUGUACAACUCCUCAAAAGUCGCAAGAGAACCUGUAAAGUAGAUAGAAAAACAGUGUUAAGAUUUUGCAGUAAUGAGGUAAGCAGAUCCAAAAUAUGACUUCAUAUGCGAGAGCAUGAAAAAGCAAGGUAAUGUUGGGUAUUUGGAUGAGCAGACAGGGAAGUUUUUUUUUACCUUGGAUUGGUCUAGUGCUCUAGUAUGAUUUUCAGGAUAGUCCUGAUGAACUGUUGUCCUAGCUCCUCAAUGAUGCAACAUGGUGCUUAGUUGUCGCAAAUCAAUGCCGAAACAAACACUGAGAGCAUUGCUGCUGUACAAGCUAUCAAUGUUCCAUGGUAACAUUGUUUUCACCAUUCAAAUGGCCCUUUUUCAAAAUUGCACUGCUCUGAAACUGCUGCUCUCUGGAAAAUCCAUGCAGAUCCAGUGCUCCUCUGAAUUAAGACUGAAGAGAUUGUACGUACAAAUUUCAUGUUCAACCUUGCGUGACUGUCCGUCGACUUGAUGAAGAAAUGGGACUUCCUCUUCUCCCUUCACUUGUUUCCUUGACAAACACAAGGAAACCUGCAACAAAAAACAAAUGGUGAAUCUGAGGGAAAAAAGAACUAGUCCUGUGCUAUGCCAAACAGAAACAAGGCAGGUUUUGUGAAUAAUUAAAAUUUCGCAUUAUCUCUGGAGAGAUACAAAUAGAUACACUAUCCUUAGAUCAGGCUAACAAGGUUAAUUUUGCAUAGACGAAAGAAAAGAAGCUCACUUUUGUGUAUUUAACUAUUUAUUACCAUUAUGCUUAUGUAAAUUGGUUAGUACACCAAAUNNNNNNNNNNNNNNNNNNNNNNNNNNNNNNNNNNNNNNNNNNNNNNNNNNNNNNNNNNNNNNNNNNNNNNNNNNNNNNNNNNNNNNNNNNNNNNNNNNNNAUUCUACAAAAUUACCAAAUAGUAAAAAAAAGUUAUAGGUAAAAAAAAGAUUUUUUUCAAUAAAAUAAAAAUAAUAAUUUUAUUACUUAUUUUAUUAUCAAUAAAAAUUCAAUAUUAUUAUUACUUAGUUUGUUUAUUUUAAUGAUUAUUUGGAUUUCAAACAAUUUGUGACAUCAAGACCUAAGGGUUAAUAGGAUUGAUAGCUUACUAUUGUUAGCAAAACAACAAGUGGAGACUUGGAAGAUAGGGCGAUAGAACCAGGAAGUUAAGCGUGCUCAGGCUGUAGCAGGGCUACUACUAAAGUUUAGCUGUAGCGCGAUAGCAGUAGCGCUUGGCCCAACUAAGGCCCUUAGUAGUAGUAGCACUGCCCGUACCAGCGCUACUACUAAAGUUUAGCUGUAGCGCGAUAGCAGUAGCGCUUGGCCCAACUAAGGCCCUUCGGAGUGCUCCAUCUUGUACCGGUGCUAAGGAUGCCAUGUAGCCGAAAAAUCUGAUGUGUCACUAUAGUUAAGAGGAGAGAAAUGAGUUUGAUGACCCCAUAAAAAAACAAUGCCAAGCGUGGGAACCUAGGCACAAUUCUUAAAUGAAGGAAGCACGCGAAUGCAUGCACUAAUAUAGUUGCCAAAUCAUUUAAUAAAGUGAGCUUAGCUACAACAAGUUAAGCAUGUAUGCAUUGGAGGCUUUAGUUGCUAAAGUAUUUUAUGUGCUUAGCACCUCAUCUAAGCACUUGUGCAUUGGAACAAGCCUUAGGUAGAGAGAGGAAAGCAAUUAAAAGGGAGAGAGAGCAUUGUAGUGACUCAGGAAAAAGUGCCGCUAAACGCGUGAACCUAUGUAAAAUGAUUACCAAUCAAUGCAUGAAGAAGUUUAAUUAUUUAAUAAUUUUGUAAGGUAAGCUUAACAACAAAAGCUAAGAGCAUUUCCAGCCGUUUGGCCUCAGCGCACCCAACGAAGUGUGUUGGGCGUUUCUGUCGGCGCCUUUUUUGGCCUCGGGGGAUCAAGUUUCAAGCCACGCCCUCGGGUUUCGCCCCCUAACGCACAAAAAAUUCAAAGUUUUCUUUCCCGCUACAAAAAACAAACAAAUUAGGCGAUCAUCAUGCCACAGGUCGGCGAUCAUCAUGCCACAGGGUCAGUGAUCGAACAUAGCCAAAGUCCGGCGAUCAAAAGGGUAGGAACCAUAUAUGUAGAACUCAAAUGAAAGGAUCCUCCGCUGUAAGGCUAGGGGAGGUCGGCAUCGUCGUCGGCAUUGUGGGCACAACUUCAGUGCUCGGCGUCGUGGGCGUAGCGCUCGGCAUCGUCAAGCCCAGGGGCCUUGCCAUCGGCGUCCUCGGCUUCCUCUGCUUUGGCUGGGCGAAAUCGAUGGCUUGAUAAGGGGGCACAUACUUCUUCGGCGGCAUGACGGGCGGGUGUGGGCAGAAUGGCGGGAUUGGCGGGGGAGAAGAGCGUAGGUAAUGGGAAAAUGGAGGGAAAUGGGAAAACGGCGAGAAAAUUGGUCGGUAUCGCCGACAGAACGGGCCCACGUGCCUUUUCGCUUCAGCCAGUGCCCCUAGGAGACCCCCGGGGCAUUGGGUUCCGAUUGGGUUAGUCGGUUGUAAUUUCAGCCCAAACCGAUGAAAACCGAGGAUCUCGGGAUGCGACUGGGACUUUUUUCGGCACCGGUGCUACAAAAGGCGCCCUGGGUGGCUGUUGGGGUGCGGAUGGAGAUGCUCUAAGCACCCAAGUAUUGGGAAGACUAGUUGCUAAGAUUUUUAAUACAUUUAGCACCUUAUCUAAGCACUGAUGCAUUGGAAGAGGCAUCAAAUGCCCGCGAAUCACGACCGCGGAUUACGUCUAUGGGCACUGAUCGCUCAGUCUUAAAAUUUCGUCAUCCACAUCCGAAUACCUCAUACUAUAAAUCUUAAAUCCAUACAAAAGUAUGCAAACAUAAAAAUCCACGUACCACGUAGAUCAUCUAUCCUACUCCUCCUCGCAGAUGUCGAAUAUCUCCGUGCCCGGCUAUGGGUACAUGGGCGGUGAUACGUCUCCAACGUAUCGAUAAUUUAUGAAGUAUUCAUGCCAUGUUUGCCUAUGCUUACAAUACUUGUAUAUGGUUCUGUUGCACUUUAUAUGAUUUAUUUAGAACUAACCCGGACUGACGUUGUUUUUAACAGAACUACCGUGGUGUUGUUUUUUUGUGUAGAAAUAAAGGUUCUCGGAAUUCGACAAAACUUUUUGACUAUUUUUCUAGAAGAAAAGAGAAAUACUGGAGCAAAGAACCAUCAGAGAGGAGGCCCAGGCUGCCCACUAGGCACCAGGGCGCGCGAGCCCCCGUGGCGCACCCUGGUACCUAGUGGGUACCUCGUGGCCCAUCUUACAUGAUUCUAACGCCCACAAAUCCUAUAAAUAUAAAAACCUCCAGAAAUUACCCUAGACGAGAAGUUCCGCCACCGCAAGCCUCUGUAGCCACAAAAACCAAUGGGGAGCCCGUUCUGACACCCUGUCAGAGGGGGACAUCAUCUUCGGUGGCCAUCUUCAUCAUCCCGACGGAGGGCCUGACGAGGAGGGAGUUGUCCACCCUCGGGGCCGAGGGUCUGUACCAGUAGCUAUGUGUUUAAUCUCUCUCUCUCUCUCUCUCUCUCUCUCUCUCUCUCUCUCGUGUUCUUGAUAUGUCAUGGUAUUGAUAUAUCAUGGUCCUUGUUAAUAUAGUUGGAUCAUAUGGUGUUUGCCCCAUGCUAUUGUUGUGAUGAGUUGAAUCUUUAACUUUAAGAUCUCGUUAUGUUGGAUUGAAUAUUCAGGUUUGAGAGCACAUGAUAUAUGUCUUCCAUGCGGAUACCCGUAGUGACAUUGGGGUAUUCAAGUGAUUCACUUGAUAUAUAUUUUGGCACUCAACUCACGGAUACCCGAGGUGACAUUGGGAUAAUCUAUGCAUAGGGGUUGAUGCACGUUUUCAUACUAUGUUCUUCGAUAGAAAUCUUGGGGUGCUCCUUGAAGUUAUUUGUGUUGGAUUGAAUAUGAAGAACCUGAAAUUGUUGCAUGUCGUAUAAUUAGCCCACGGAUAUUUGAGGUGAAAUUGGAGUAUUUAGGUGACAUUAGAGUUGAUUGAUAUGCAUUGGUGUUAUUUUAGUACGAACUCUUGAAUAGAUCGAUCGGAAAGGAUAACUUUUUAUCUUAGUACGAACUCUUGGAAAGAUUGAUCGAUCGGAAAGGAUAACUUUUUAUCUUAGUACGAACUCUUGGAAAGAUUGAUCGGAAAGAAUAACUUUGAGGUGGUUUCGUACCCUACAAACAAGUUCUUCUUAUGUUCCCCACUAGGUAGGAAUUUUGGACUGAUUUUUUAUCUCACGUUGAGGGAUUGUUAUGUGAUCCAAUUAUAUUAGCAUUGUUGAGAGAUUUUACUAGCGAAAGUACGGACCCUAGGCCUCAUUUUCAAGCACUGCAAUAUCACUUGUGCUCACUUUUGUUACUUGCUACCUUGCUGGUUUUUAUUGUUCCUAUUACAAAAAUCAAUAUCUACUAUCAUUACUACACUUUUAUCACUAUUUCUUCACCGAACUAGUGCACCUAUAUAAUUUACAAUUGUAUUUGGUGUGUUGGGGACACAAGAGACUUUUUAUUAUUUGGUUGCAGGAUUGUUUGAGAGAGACCAUCUUCAUCCUACUCCUCCUACGGAUUGAUAAACCUUAGGUCAUCCACUUGAGGGAGAUUUGCUACUGUCAUACAAUACUCUGCGCUUGGAGGCCCAACAUGAGUCUACAAGAACAAGUUGUGUAGUAGACAUGAGGCGACAACUGCAACUCAUGCUCCGGCAGCUCCUCCGGCUUCUCUACAUCGUCCUCCGAUUCAAGUUCAGUGAAAAGAGCAUCGAUCACCGCCAGCUUCUGCCGAAUGAAGCGUCGGUUGGCCUCCAUAUAGGCAUCAUACUGGAUGGACUCCAGCUCCGCCAUCUCCUCCGCUUGAGCGACGAUGAACUCCGCCUGCACGUGCUCAAUGUUGAAGCCCGGAGCCGAUGCCACCUCCUGCUCNNNNNNNNNNNNNNNNNNNNNNNNNNNNNNNNNNNNNNNNNNNNNNNNNNNNNNNNNNNNNNNNNNNNNNNNNNNNNNNNNNNNNNNNNNNNNNNNNNNNUUUUAAAGAACGUUCGUCAAAUUUAAGAAAGGUUCAACGAUUUUGAUACAAAGUUCAGUGAUUUUGAAAAACGUUCAUCGAAUUUGAGAAGGGAUCAUCAAUUUUGAUAAAAAAGUUUAGCUGUUUUGAAAAUCGUUUAUUGAAUUURRAAAAAAAAGCUAAUCAAUUUUUWAAACAAAAAAUCAUCAAAUAUGAAAAAAAGUUCAUAAAAUUUAAAAGAUGUUCAUAAAAUUUGAAAGAAAAGUUCAUCGAAUAUGAAAAAAAGUUUUUCAAAAUUGAAAAAAGUUCAUCAAAAUUGAAAAAAAGUUCAUAGAAUUUGAAAAGAAGUUUCUUUGAUUUGAAGAAAAUUAAUUCAAGAAUUUGAAAGAAAAUCAUCGAGCGAGGAAGAAAAGAUGAAAAAGAAAAGAAUAAACAGAACGUAAAAUGCAAAAAAAGGAAAAAAAGAAAAAAAGAAGAAGGAAAGAGAAAAUAAGAAAAGAGGCAACGAGAUGCAAACUCACAUAUCAUAUCAAGGAAGGUGGUGUGGUGCCGCGGUGGUUACCCCAAUGUAGAUUGAUGGGUAUCUUGCUAAUUCGAUCCCCUGCGGCGGUGUCAUUUUUGUUUUACAAAGAAAGCGGAGAUGGGUCGGCCCAGCCGCCCCGUUGGAGGUAUCUAGGGUUUUACGUCGAUCCUAACAUCGAUAUUGAAGAGAAUGCGUGCAAUUUAUAGUUGAGAGGCAGUCGCGUCAACACACCAGGUGUCUUGAACACAUAACACUAAAAUACACGAUAUACCCAGCUUCAUGACCAAGUAAUGUGUUGCUCUUUUCUUUAUAUGUAGAAAAUAUAUAGGAAUAUAUAGGAUUACCAUGCAUAGAGAGGAACCCGACUAGUUCGAGGAAUCUCAAUGAGUUUAUGAUGAUGGUGGUGAUCUCGGCCAAGAACGUUGAAAAUAGCAUACACAUUAUGGGCUCUUUGUAAGGCAAGGGAUACGGUCCCCCUCUACGGUGCCCUUGUUGCCCCCUCCAUAACCAGACCUUUCAAAGCCGUCUCGAACGCCCAGAUAGCCUUACCAGUCAUAGAAAAGCGACCUAGACGGGCGCCCUAAAUGCGCCUCAAAUGGCCGGGCUGACCGUCACCCCUCAUAUUCAGCCCAAAUAUUAGUCGGAUAUGGGGGUGCUCGCGCGUCCGCUAUGACGGUCUGGUGGCAUGGACCCAUGGGUAAUCACCCGGAAAUCUGGCGGUACGACGGACGCCUCCUCAGGUGAGGUGCGUGACGCCGGUCCGGCUCAUCGUCCCAGGCAAAUUCGGCUAUUUUAGUUGACUAGCUCCCCCUGACCCUAUCCCACACACCUCCUUCCUAUCUGCGUCGCCAGCCCGAGCCCAUUCAUCUCCUCUCUCUCGCUCUGGUGCUCUUCCCACACUCUUCGGUGGUGCCAUGGUCCGAGCAAAGAUCACCACCUACACCAUGCUCAUGACGGAGCGCCGAUACCAAAUAAAGCAGAAGAUUUGGGCGAGGCACGCCGCUCGCAUUGCUUUCGGGCUGCCAUUGAACUUGUCGGAGACGGAGAAGAGAAGGAGGAGGCGCAGGCGAAGGAGGGGAGAGUAUAUGUUGCCCGCUCCGGUGAAGGAGGAGUAGGCGAACGGGAAGGAGGGAGAGGAGUUGCAGCCCGCUUCGAUGGAGGCAGAGCUGUCGGAGCAGGAGGUGGCANNNNNNNNNNNNNNNNNNNNNNNNNNNNNNNNNNNNNNNNNNNNNNNNNNNNNNNNNNNNNNNNNNNNNNNNNNNNNNNNNNNNNNNNNNNNNNNNNNNNAAAAUUUUAUUUGUUGUGCAGAUAUUCUUAUGCUUGUUCUGGUUGGUUUCGAGAUAUUGGUCAUCAUUCACCAAAACUUGCUGGUGUACUUGUUAAGCUGUGAGGAUCAUAAUGUGGGAAUAACUGAUAUUUUGCUGAUUUGCUAUUGAAACUAAGGUGUGCAGUUUCUUCAGUUCGAUGCUAUAUUGAUAGGAUAGGAGGUGUACCUGCAUUUUUCAUAAGCUUUGGUGCUAAAUGAAAUUUUGUUAAUUACAGGAACUUUUUACAAGAAUACCUUUCUUACCAUGUCAGUGCUUGCGUCGAGCAGAUUGAGAUCUCGGGCUUUCACUAAAUGGUAUGCCUUGUCUAUUCACACUCUUACAGAAGUAUAAAAGGACUCGUGUAUUUGUCUUACGUUCCGAACUUUUUAGGCUGAACUAAGCUUCUUGGUUGCUGAAUAGACGUGGUCCGUGGACAACUUUGGAAUUGAACAAUGCAGCAGUAGCAGAUUUGUGGAAAGGUCAGUAAACCCCUGCUGAAAUUCGUGAUGGGUUUAGCUAUGUAGAUUGAAUUCAGUGUGCAAUUUUCGAACUCUUAUUGCCACAUGAGACCUAUGUUAGAGAACUUCCUGCUUUCUUGAUAAGUUGGCAGUCUAGCUUUUGAGCACACUCAUAAUCUCUGAAUGCAUUGUCAUGCUGAAUUAAGUUACACAAGAGAGUUUUCAGCUGAUACAUAUAGUGGUAAAGGUAGAGAACACUUGUUACUAGAUGAUUGAUGAACAUUGAUUGAGCAAAAAAAGACUUGAGCUUGCUAAUUUUUAUUCCUAGAACCUCCUGAAUUUAGUAUGGUGAAGGUGAUUUUAUUCUCUUCUUCAUCCCGAGUAUUUUGUUCUGUCCCACCAUUGCCAAAAACAGCAUAUUUCGUAAGUCUUUGAUUAUUGCAAUCUGAAUUUCUAGUGCGUAUUGUUAAGUUUGAUGUUCCUCUAGUCUGAAGUCUUUGAAAUCCAGUCAUUCCAUUUGCGUAACUUUUGUUGUCUAGCCUCUUCAACACUCGUCAUUGCAUUCCUUCAUCAGGAAACUCUGCUGGUGUACAUAUACAGAUCCCAGAAAAUAAACCAUUUCUUCCAUGUGUUCACACCAUACCUACCUAACCACCUACCUAUAAUCACAUCUCUCACUAUCCCACAGUAGUUGGUUAUUCCAUAAGCACAAAUGCACAAUCAUCAAGUUAAAAGAAGACUCAAAAGCGCUUUGUUGUCAUUGACCCUGCAAAUUUCAUCAUUAUGAAGAGCUAUAUUCGUUAAUAUCUAUGCCUCUCUCACAAAAGUCAAAAAAGUAAUAAAGAAAAAGAGUGAGGGAGGUCAUUCAAAAGAUUAAAGGUUCAUCCACAAGCAGGAAGAAAUAGUCAGCAGUCCUUCCAUAUUCAUGUGCAGAAUGCAAAAUGGCUAAUCAAACUACUAUAUACCUAUGCAAUAUUGACAGCUGGAGUAUGAGUCGCAUCCUGAGACCACCUUGCAUUGCAUAGGCAUCUCAAUCAUUUCUUUGGCGUGAGUCCAUCCCUCCCACAUCCCCUGGACACUACCUUUCCCCAAUGACUGGAAUGUGAAGAUUUCUCUGUACUGGAGUUGAACUCUUAUUUAGCUUUGCAAUCUUGAUUUUAGAUUUGCUCGUUCUUUCAAUUACCCUACCAAGAUCCAGAUAAGCUUCCACAAAUAUAUUGUAGAUAGGAAAACACUUUGGCCACUGGCCAGUGAGGAUUACAAUUAUGUGAUGAGAGUAAUUUCGGAUCAUGAUGAGGUAAUCUCACUAGAUACCUGCUCUUGGAAGGUUCGCAAAGAAAUAAAAUUGUUGGCUACUCCUGUUUCCAUUUGUUCUUGACAUUGAAGUCAAACAACCAAGUGAUUAGUGUUCAAUAACUGUUAUAGCUAUAUUGUUGAUGCUGGUUACUCUCAAAAAAUAAAAUCCAUUCCCUACUGGCAAUGAAUAAGAGUAGUUAUUUAAGUGUGUGCUCAAUCGUUAGCUUGCUACUUUGACAAGUUUGUGGGAAGUGCCUCUGUCCGAAGCUCAUGAGGAUUAUAGUAACUGUUUGCACAUGAGCACUUGUUUCCAAUCUAGCUAUGCUAAGCUUUCAGGUUUUUCACAAGCACAUGGGCAAGUUGAAUCAGGAGCCUAAAUCAUCUGGCCACGAUCUGAGACACUUUUUCUCGAGUGAAGAAUCAGAAAGGGAGAAGCCUGAGACAAAUCGUACCUUUUGUUUCUCUUUGUAGCCACUUUCUCCCUGAUAAUGCUAUAAGGAAGAGAGAAUGGUUUUUUCACACCUAGUACUAUUUUCCUUGUAGCUUCAACCUUUAGCAGGUUUUGAUGAGUGGUACGAAAACAGGGCAAAAAACUUCAUUUGUUUUCUCGGUGUGGACAAUGUAUAUCCAGUGAAAUGAAAUUCAGUUCUUUGUAAUAGUAUCUUCAUAUCUGAACCUAUGCUUGGGUGUCACUUUUGGUUGCCUGUGCUAAAGCAUAGUUAAAUAAAGGCACUGCAAUGGUUCACUGCAGGAUCUUCCUGGUUGCCUUUUAAUACCCAAUUGGCAAUUUGAAGCAAUCAUUGUGGCCAUGUUGUUUUUCUUUUAUGAGGAAAACAAAUGAUGUGAUUUAUGUUUACACAGGGGUUUUGCUAUAUGCACAGGCAGAUAGGCGACUCGGGCGACCNNNNNNNNNNNNNNNNNNNNNNNNNNNNNNNNNNNNNNNNNNNNNNNNNNNNNNNNNNNNNNNNNNNNNNNNNNNNNNNNNNNNNNNNNNNNNNNNNNNNCAGGAGUGGAAAGGGGACUUGGGCCUUGGCAGGCCUCCUCUCUCCCUCAACUGACUUUUAAAAAAACAGAAACAACCACAAAGAAAGGUUUAACAAAAUAAAAAAAUGCCUUUGACUCCUUUAAAAAUAUACCCCAACUAUAAAAAUAGCUUGGGCAUCUUUUAACGAAUAAAAUUGAAACCUUUUGAAGAAUAAAACAAAACCCCUUCUAUAAAUAAAAUGAGUCUCUAGUUUUAAGAAUAAACAAAAGGAAAAAAAUAAAGGAAACCCAAGGGCUUGCCCCCCACAUUUAACAAAAAGACUUUUAAAAGAAGACGAAUCUUUUGAGGGGGUUAAAAUUAAAAUCAAUCGCAGCCACAAAAAUAGAAUAGAGAGGAGAGAAGGGUUUUACGUCCUCGGUGCAACAGGGUUUUGAAGUGGCUCUGUUGCACCCACUCUCAUCACUCCAACAAAACAACGCCACUCACAAGCAUUAACACCCAACAACACGGAGCAACAAGCAACACCGACAAAACACAGUUGACAUGAUGCCAUGCAUGAUGCCAUGAUGCGCAAGAUGAAUGCAACAAACAAAACAACCACACGACGGAAACGGAAAUAAAGGGGAAUCUUCUGGAACGUCGGCAUCGGGCUGUCACAACUCUCCUACAUUACAAGAGGAUCUUGCCCCGAGAUCCAAGAAUGAAAGGGGGGNNNNNNNNNNNNNNNNNNNNNNNNNNNNNNNNNNNNNNNNNNNNNNNNNNNNNNNNNNNNNNNNNNNNNNNNNNNNNNNNNNNNNNNNNNNNNNNNNNNNCUCCUCCCCGGUGCGCCUUGGUUAGCCCUCCAGGACCCCGGCCUCCUCCUGCCGAUGCCUUGCUGCCGUGCCUUGCUGCCAUGUUGCUUGUGCUGCUUGCGCUAGCCAUGUCGUGCCAUGCUUGUUGUUUGCCUGCAUGUCGCUGCUGCCGUUUGCUGCUACUGGCAGUUGUUUGGAGAUGCUCUUGCUGCUGUGGCCAGAUGCUGUUGCCAUGUGCCGCUGCCUAUGCCGAGCCCGAUGUGUGCCUGUCUCUGUUGCCUGCGCUUGCCGUUGUCGGCUGAUGCAUGUUGCUGAUGUGUUUGCCUGCUACGAGCUGCUGCUAUUGCUGUCGCCGAUGUGCUGUUGCUGCCUGCCUGCUUGCUAUGCUGUAGCUGCUGUUGUAGCUCGCCGCCGCUGCUUGCCGUAUUGCUAGUUGUUGCUUGCUUUGCUGCUAGCCGAGGCUAGAUGAUGCUAGCUUGCUUGUUGCCGGCUGCUGCUGUAGUAAGCUAGGUAGUUGAUAGUUGCUAGCUGCAGUUGUUGCUUGCUGCUGCUUGCCUGCGUAGCUAGUUGCUAGCUGUUUGCUGCUAGGCUAGUAGCUGCUGCCGAUGCCGAUGCUUGCUAAUAGAUGUUGCUUGCUUGUGAUGCCGCUUGCCGUCGCCGCUUCGACCAUCCCCGACGCUGUGGAAUCAACAAGUUCACUAGUAGCACGACGUCCCCGACGACCCCCGGACAUCUACGAAACCGUGUACGACUACCGACGCCGAAGACCCGUGUACCGACGCCAAGAGUACGACCACCGCCGACAAGACCGCCGUGCACGACUACUUCCACUACGACCACGACUUCCACUAUGACCACGACGAUCUUUGUUCUCCUUCACCGAACCGAACCGCUCCGAUAUGCACGCUUUGAAGGUAUACCGUUGGGACGUGUCGUGUACCGAAUGCAAAUGUUGUAUGAGAUAUAUCGUAUGUUUGCGCCGUAUGUUUGCCCGUUGCACGUUGCCUCUCUUUCGUCGCGCCUUCGACACAUGGGAACACGGUAGCGGGAUCACUCCAUCUUUAUCUAGCGUUCCCGCACACGCUUCCUAUACGUUGGCACGAUAUCUCGACGAGUUAUCGGGAUAGGAAUGUUGUCGUGGCAUCGUUUCCGUUUUGCCGCCAUAGUUCCCUCUCGCUCGCCGUGGCGACACUUGUUUCUUUCUCUUCUUGCCCGUGAUGUUUGAACUUUUGGAUGACGCAUUCAUGGCAUGAUACCUUGUGUUGCAUGUCUCUUGUACGUAGCUCCGUUCUAUGUUUUGCGUGUUAACCAACUAGGAUGACAGGUAGAAUCAUCGCUUCACCCCUUGCCAUGUUAACAACAUUAAAUAUUGCCAUGUAAAUUAACGGGAGUGAACUAAAUAUUUAAUCGUGGAGUUUCGUCGAUAUGCAACUCGUUGCAUAUCGAGCUUCACUUAAUGUGUAGUGUUUGCGUGAGGUGAAUUGCCAUGUCAUGCCUUGCAUCUUUGAACUAAUCAUGCAUCAUAGUAGAUUGUGCAUCAUGUUGUGCAUCGUGUGGUGAAUAUCUGUGUUGAUGUUUGUUUCCUGUUUGCUCCGUCUCGAUAGAGUUCCGCAAGCGUGUCGGAAUGUGAGGACCCGUUCGACUACGUUGGUUCGUCGACUUCACGGAUUUGUUCUUCUUCCAAGCGGGAUAUCAGGCAAGAUGACCAUUUCCCCAGAUACCAUUACUAUCAUUGCCAUGCUAGUUUUACCGUUUCUAUCGAUUAUGUCUCGUUGCCUACCACAUGUUAAAUAGCAGCCUCUCAACAAUUGCAUGAUAACCUUCACCCUGUUCGACCUAGCAAACCACUGAUUGGCUAUGUUACUGCUUGCUUAACCAUGGUGUUAGCAUUGCUAGAUGCAGGUGCCGUUGCUUCCAUGUGAUAACAUGGGUUCCUUGUUGUAUCACUAUGUUAAAUGCUAUUUAAUUUAAUGCACCUAUAUACUUGGUAAAAGGUGGAAGGCUCGGCCUUUCUAGCCUGCUGUUUUGUUCCACCUUUGCCCCUUAGUUUCGGCUACCGGUGUUAUGUUUCAUAUUUGAGCGCUCCUAACACGAUCGGGGUUGUUAUGGGGACCCCCUUGAUAAUUCGUUUUAGAUUAAAGCUGGUCUGGCAAGGCCCAACUUUGGUACUACAUUUGCCUAAUAACUAAUGAACUGCAUAGGGAGUAAUUAACCCGAGGAAAUUUAAUCAACCCCCGGGCCAGUGCUCCUCAUGAGUGUUAGUCCAAAAUGGACAGACUGCGGGGCCACCACGGGGCAACUCGAGGUUUGGUACCUGUAGGCUUUUCCAUCCGCCGUGUCCUGAGAACGAGAUACGUGCCUCCUAUCGGGAUCGUCGACACGUGGGCGGCCUUGUUGGAUUAGUUUUACCUUUGACGGAAUAUCUUGUGCAUCGGGAUCCCGGUGAUGCUUUGGGUAAUCUCAGAGUUGAGGUUUUCCACUAGGGAAUCCGAUGAGAUCGCGAGUUUUGUGAUUGAGGAUUUCUAUGCGGCUUGUGGUAAUUUGUGAUGGACUAGUUGGGGCACCCCUGUAGGGUUAAAUCUUUUCGGAAAGCCGUGCCCGCGGUUAUGUGGCAACGUGGAAACUUUGUUUAACACUGGUUUUAGCUUGUGGCGAGUGUAAGCCAAUUCUGUAUAUAUCUCUUCUUUUCAGUACAUGUACUUGUAACGAUAUCCAUUCUUGCGACACAACGAGAUGCGCUUCUAUCCCUGACAAGGCUCUCGUGCCAAAUUGAGGAUAUGGUCGCAUCUUGGGCGUGACACAACAUCCACGUCAACACCAUCACAACAGCGAGGCAGUUGAGUUGCGCUACACCCAGACACAUCAGCCUGCUAUCCGCCGUGACGUUCGGGUCGACCAGGGGGCGACGGAGCGGUGGCGUGGAUGGCAGCCGGCGGGCGGCAUGGGGGCGACGGAACGACGGCGUGAGGGCCGACAGCGCGACGGGGCGGCGUGGGGCUGUCUCUUAUANUCUAAGAAGGGACGUUAGAGAAGCUACAUUACCCUAACUUGCCUUCUUUCAAUCUAUAUGAUUAUGGCUAAAAUGAUUUAAAUUAGUUUGCAAAUUACAGAUCUACUAUGUACAUUUAUAGUAAUUACAUACAAACAAACUAAUGGUGAAAUAAAAUUAAUUUUAAAUUAUUUAUAUCUGCAGUAAAUAUCAACGGUAAAUAACAUACUAGUAGUCCCUAACUUUCCUUCUGCAUUUUACAUUAGGUUAGCACUGUAGCACGGUGACAUCCCCUAAAAAAAACACGAUGGAGGAAGGCGAAACAAGGCGGCCGGCCAUGGCUUCGCCGGAGUUCGUUGCCGGCGGCGGUAGGCGACUCACGCCUCCCCUCGCUCUCCGCGGAGCACGGCGACGGCACGGCGUCCGACCCGAGUCCGUAAGCGCAUCUUCUUCCAAACCCUUGUUUCUCCCUGGCUGGUCCGGUUGGGUCUAUGGAUCCGAUGCGCGUGCGCGGCGUCGGGAAGGGAGGAUCGAGGAGGGGGUCCUCCCCGAUUAGAGCCCCCUGGCUGGUGUUGUGAGUUCUAGUGUUCUCCUGCAACAUUUGGGAAGGUUUCGUCUUUAUACUAGUAUAUGAGUUUUGUCAGGCUUUUUUUUUAUGUAAAGGGGUUUCUAUGAAUGCGUGUUAAUCAUGCUGGCUGCUUGUUAAUUACGCUUGUUAUAAAGAGUAAUUAGAGUUGACAACACCGAAAUUGGUGCUCUGUUUCAAUUUCGAGGCCUCCUUCCUCACUUGCCUCAUUAUAUAGCCCUGUUUCUGAAUUUUUCUGUUUUAUAACAGACCAAAAGGACUUGAUGUGUUUUGAUUCAUUUGUCAGAAGUAACCUCGCGUGACAUGUUAUAUCAGUUUAUGACAUACACAGCCACUGGGUUCUGGUCUGAAUCGCUUGCUUGCACGGCAGAACCACCUACACCUAUGCUUGGUGUGAAAUCAACCCAUAUAUGCAUCCUGUGUCUAUGCUAUUCUGCCACCAGCACCAGUUGUAUUUAGGAUACAGCAGUUGGCACGAGAUCUGAAGCGGCGUUCUUGGUUUUGCCGUAGGUGCAGUGCAUUGAAGCCGCGAUUGCUGUAGUGAGCUCGUUCCGCCCAUUGCUUGGAGCGUUGGUUCAUCACGUGCUGCUGCUCACAUUCAAAUCUACCAACUCGUCCAUGGCUCCAUCCUUAACUGGGGCUCGGUCUUCUCGCACUCGAGUCAACCCCUCUGUAAUUGCACCAUCACCGCGAAGACCGCGAUACCACCGGCCGACCAGCUUGAGAUCUGAAGGACGAGCUUCGCGCCACCUGAUCUGAACGCUUGCCUGGCAACUACAUUAGUUUAGCUAAUCAGAUCCAUUGAGGGCAGCCACGCCUACUAUUUUUUUCAUAGUUUUAAAUAGCUGGCUAUAGCUUUUUCAGCAGGUGCCGUUAAAUGGUAUCAUGUACAAAUAGACCGCUAUAGCUGAUUUAGAGGCCCACCGCUAUGACCCGCUAUAGCUGAUUUAGAUGCCCGCCGCUAUUUGCCAUAAGACGCUAUUUAAAACAUUGAUUUUUUUACUUAGACAAACUUGAGUGACCACAUUAGUUUUGCCCAAGCCAAAUUCAGUAACACAAUCAGCGAUUCUUAAAAACAGAAGUAAUACAAGCAGCGGUUUCCAAUGGCCACAGGAAUCGACCAUGUCCACAAGAUGGGCAGGCAGGGCUGCGGCACAUGGGUUCAAUUAUUCGCAGUGUAGCCAGCUGGGAGUCUCCGUCUCCAAAACCCAGCAACCACAUUGCUUCCCAAUGGCACCUAAAAUUAUGAGAUCCAACACCAGAUCUGAAGCCAGGUCAAGAUUUUAAUUUCACGCCACCGAGCACUUAAUUAGUUGGCAGUGAUUCUUUUUGUUCGAUCCCAUCCGUGGGGUUGACUUAACAUUUUUUUACCAGUACGGUUGCAUUAUUCAAUAGGACUAUAUGGGAGUGACUUGACAUUUUGUUUACCAGUUUACUUGAAGGACGUAAUAUUUCAUAUUUCCAUGUCACCGUUCUAGUGCCAUGAUUGUAAGCCACAACUAUCUACCGGUAAACCAAGUUAGCUGGCAGGGUGAGACUAUGUCGGCAUAGUAUCCCUCCAAUCUCUACUUCCCAUGGUGGCAUCUUCGAUAGGGAGGUGGAUUUUCGUCCCUAGUUCUGUUCCUGGGCCUGGAUGGGGAUAUUCGGUGUUCCUGGCUGCCGUCUUUCCCUGUAUUCUGUGCUUUGCUUUAUUGAUGCAUGUUGUUUUCCAUUGCUUCCUUUUUGUUUCCACAAGGCAUUCUUCUGUUAGGUUCUACUAUUCAUCGGAAUAACGGAACAGAACACCGUUUGGUCUAAAAUCCAUGGUUUGAGCUUCCUGUUGUCUCCUGUUCGUUGUCUUGUACCUUCCUCUGAGAGUCAACUCUGCCAUUGCCAACCACGAGAUGAGUAAAGUAACCAGGCAGGGAAGGGAGACUCCAAAGUCUGGCGUCAUUGUUUAUAAUUCGCUGAUGCUAACCACGUUCAUUCACAUGCAUCAUCGCCGUGAAGAUAUGUGAGAUCUGAAGCUUACUUAGUCGCCUCACAAGAUGCUUAGAAGGCUUCGCUAAUUUAAGUCCCAUUAUUUCCGUUGUUGACAUUGCCGCACUUAUAGCUGCCGAUCAUCUCUCUGUAAUCUUAAGAGAAAAAUACUCGUAUCUGUACAUAUCAUCCCUCGUACUAUUUAUCACCAGCUCUACUUUUUUGAAUUAGUCCCAGUGGUGGUUUAAUCUCUUGAGAUUUCACUCACUGUCAAACUUUGGGUGUACAUCUACCAUUGCUUUUAGCAUCAAUUGACAAUGGGAGCAUAAACAUAGCAACUGGACUAAAGUAACACUAACACUUCGGCACUGCCCGUUGGAACUGGAAUGCUCACAUGCCUUCUCCGUUCAGACCGGGAAGGAAUCCCAGAAAAACAAGGCCUUACCACGAGAUGAGUGAAGUAAGCGGCUCAAGACUGAAUGGGGGACUUGGUGCAAGAUUUGAAGGUGAGUUUUCGUUUUCUAUUUCGCGGCACCGGGUUCUUAAUUAGCUGACAACUUUUGUAAUGUUAAGUUCCAUCCAUAUCCGCUGGGGACAUUGCACACUUGCAGCCGCUAGUCAACACUUCUAGUACUCACCAUCAACUCCCCUCACACAUCUGCCAUUGAUCCAUCCUUAGCUGUGCUUCCCAGCUCUAUCUUUUCUUUUUUCGAGAUGAACACCUGCUCUCUCAGAAUCUGUCCCAACUGGUGGUUUUACUCAGUCCAAACUCGGGUGUACACAUGCCAUCACCUUCAGCAACAAUUGACAACAGAAGCAUGACAGUAGUAAUUGAAUCAAAGUAAAGACUCACUUUGCUUUUGCUCUAGGCUGUCAUACAUGUAAAUGAAGUCCCAUAAAUAGUCGCACAAACCAUCAUCUACCGAGGAACAUCAUUGCUAAUACGUCGCCAGUACAAGGUUCCAUGUUGUUUAGCGAACUUGGCUGACGAACACGUCUUCUCCAGGCUACGCCAUGCAUGGGGCCAGUAAUGCAAGCAACUCAACAAAUUAACUUCCAGCGCUCCCUUUUUUUUGGAAAUAGCAGUACUCUGUUGUUGAUGCAUGUAGCAGCGCCAGCCAUGGGACCCUAGCCUGUGAUUAGUUACUUGGGCCCUGUUUGUUUCAGAAGUCCCGAGACUUUUUUUAGUCCCAACUUAAAAGUCCCUAGUCCCUACCGUUUGUUUUCAGGAACUAAAUAGGGACUAGAGGUCAUUAAAUGACAUGCAAAAAGACCAUGUUACCCUUAGUAAUGUAGUAGUAGUUAUUAAAUGACAUGCUAAAAGUAAGGGCAUUGUUGGAAAAAGUGCCAAAAAAGUCCAAAAAGACCCUCCCAUAGGAGCUUCUCCAAAUAGUCCCAAAUACCCCCUUUUAGUCCCUAAAAGUUCCUCCUGUUUGUUUCACAUGGGACUUUUUGGGAUUUUUUUUAGUCCCUACACCAAAAAGUUCCUGGAAACAAACACCCCCUUACUUCCCAUGAUCCCCAUUGGCACUAAAACCAGGAAACCCAACGCGAUCUGAACCCAAGUCUCGAUUUAAUUUCGCACCACCGAGUGAUUAGUUAAUUGGCAACGAUUAUUUUAGUUGAUCCCACUCAUCGAAAUGACUUGACUUGACUUGACUUGACGCACUCAUGUCCUUAUAUCUCCCCUCCUCCUGCAUGUAUCUCCCAUCCUACACAUCACACUGCAGUUUGCACAUCAAAACCCUCUCUGGCAUUGCUCCCUCCGUUGCAUCACAUCGCCUGCCUUCACGGCAAGGGAGUUCAUACUUCAUACCGGUGAGUAAAUUGUUCUUCCUAAUUACUCUAGCAGCAGCAUGUGAUAUAUCAGCAUAACUUGGGACUAACUGCUUGUGCUAAUGGUUUGCAGCGUGACAACCGAUGGACGUUGCCGUCAGUGCGGCAUGGUGGGUGGUAGGCAAGGCACUGGGCCCCGUCUCAGAUGGCUUCCUGGAGGCUUGGGCGGCUAGCAAGGAUCUCGGCCCCAACGUUGACACACUCAAGAUGGAGCUGUUGUACGUGCAAGGGAUGCUCAACAACACCCGUGGCAGGGAGAUCGACAACCCGGCCCUGAAUGAGCUACUGCAAAAGCUGAGGCAGCUAGCAUACGGGGCCGAGGAUGUCUUGGACGAGCUGGAUUACUUCCGCAUCCAGGACAGCCUUUACAGCACCAGUGAGGCUGCUGACGAGCAUGCCAAGGGUUGCGUAUGCAACCUCUUCCUCAACGCUCAUCACACCGCCAAAGCUGUUGGCAAACUGCUUGGGUGCUCUGCUAACCCUCGUGAUCCUGGGGAACCGAGAUUAGAGGAAGAUACAAGGCAGCAAGUUCGCUGCUGCACUUGGCCAUGUGCCCGGAGAACUGCAAGUGCCAAUACCUCUUUGGUACCAAACACAGACCAAGCUGAUGGGGAGGCCAGCGGAUGCAUUCACAAGCUUGCUCGCAACACCGUGCGUACUGUCGGUAAACUCUUCCCUUGCUCAUCCUUCCCACAGGUUGAUGAUGAUGUUUCUGGCAAGUCAAUCCUUUGCGGUGCCUGCAUACGCAAGGCACCACAGCAAAAGCAUGCGAAAGAUGCACCAAAAUUAGAGUUUGAUAGGGUGGAUCUGUCUAAAAGAAUGAAGCAUAUUGUUGAGCAACUGCAGCCCUUGUGUGCAAAGGUUAUAGCCAUUCUUAAUCUAGAGCUAUUGGGUUCUAGUCAUACUACCAUCACAGACAUUCCCAAGAGUCCUUCCACCAGCACCUCUAACAUUAUAGAAUCAACACUGUACGGGAGGGACCCUGCAAAGAAGAGAAUCAUAGAUAGUAUCACUCAUGAUAAAUAUAGUGGCGAGAACCUAACUAUCCUGCCGAUUGUUGGUCCGGGUGGCAUAGGGAAGACAACUCUUAUACAGCACAUAUAUAACAGCCAAGAAGUGAAAACACAUUUUCAGAUCAAGAUCUGGAUAUGUGUGUCCCAGAACUUCAUUGUUAAUAAGCUGAUUGAAGAGAUUGAAAAAGCUAUACCUAGUGUGGAAGGUGAAAAAAAGGGUAGAGCAGAAGAGCUGAUUGAACAAAGAUUAAAUUCCAAAAGCCUUUUGCUUAUAUUAGAUGAUAUAUGGAAGUGUGAAUCUGAUGACUGGAAACGGCUUUUAGCACCACUCACAAAAGGACAGGCAAAGGGUAACGUAAUCCUAGUUACAACUCGGUUUCCAGCUGUAGCAGAAAUGGUUAAAACAACUGAUAGUUCAAUAGAUCUGGAGGGUUUAGAACACGGAGAGUUUAGGAAAUUUUUCCGUGCAUGCAUAUUUGGUGAUGAGAAAUCACAAAACGAUCAUGAUGGGUUACUUAAGAUUGGAGAUAGGAUUGCAGAUAAGCUAAAGGGGUCCCCUCUUGCAGCAAAAACUGUAGGUAGAUUAUUGAGGAAUCACCUUGAUGUGCAUCAUUGGACAAGAGUCCUAGAAAGUAGAGAAUGGGAAAUGCAGACCGGUGAGGAUAACAUUAUGCCUGCACUGAAACUUAGCUAUGAUUAUCUACCUUAUCAUCUGCGGCAAUGUUUUUCUAGUUGUGGUCUGUUUCCUGAAGACUACAAGUUUCACAGUGAAGAACUCAUUCAUUUCUGGAUAGGACUAGAUAUUUUAAAUCCUGGUGGUCGAAAUAAAACAAUUGAAGAUGUAGGUCAGGACAAUCUAAAUGAUUUGGUGAACAGUGGAUUUUUCAAAAAAGAUGAAACCGAGGGGCAUUAUAUCAUCCAUGAUCUGUUGCAUGAUUUAGCUUUAAAAGUUGCAUCUCAUGAAUAUCUUAGUUUGGAUCACUGCAGUGUGAGAUCAAUAGAAAUUCGGCCAUCUAUCCGUCACUUGUCGAUCGUAAUAGAUGGUCCAGAUGAUAGUAAUGGGAUAACUGAUGACAAAUUUAAGAGUGAGUUAAGGAAACUUAAGGCAAAAUUGAAGGUUGAAAACUUGCAAACAUUAAUUAUAUUUGGAGAAGGAGACAAAAGUUCUGUCAACAUUUUGGGUGAUCUGUUCAUGGAAGCAAAUGCUCUCCGUGUUCUUUGUUUGCCCACAUUAUCAUACCCCUUGGAAUCCAUGUUGCAUAACUUUUCAUCACUUCUGCACCUACGAUACCUAAAGCUAGGUACUUCUAUGAGCCAUAUGCAUUUACCAACGACUUUAUCUAGAUGUUAUCAUUUGAAGAUUUUGGAUCUACAGAAAUGGGAUGGUUCUUUUGUGUUACCUAGAGACAUGAGUAACCUUGCAAAACUAUGCCAUUUUCUCGCCCAAAAUGAUAAGCUUCUUUCGGGUAUUUAUAACGUGGGGAAACUAAAACUCUUACAGGAGUUAAAGGCUUUUCCAGUCAAGAAGGAAAUCGAAGGGUUUGAACUCAAUCAACUAGAGCAUCUGACCGAGCUAAGGGAAGUUAGCAUUUAUAACCUUGAGAAGAUACACACGAAAGAAGAAGCGGUUCAAGCAAAACUAAUACAGAAAGACUACUUGCACAAAUUAACACUAGAUUGGGACAGGGAGCGACCUAAUAGUGAGCCUGGCGCGGAUGUAGUGGUUCUUGAGAGCCUUCAACCACAUAGAAAUCUUCAGGAGCUGAGAAUUACUGGACACCGUGGCCCUUCUUGUCCAACAUGGCUAGGUGAUAACCUUGUUGUUCAGACUCUACAAUCUCUCUCUCUUCUCAGUUUCUUGGGAUAUUUUUCCUUCAUUUGGGAAGAUGUGGAAUCUUCGUGAGCUAGUAUUGUUGAAUAUUUCCACAAUAAAGGAGUUUGGUCUAGUGCAAAGCUUUUGCAAGUUAGUAAAGAAGAUUACAUUGACCGGCUUAGAAAAUUUUGAAAAAUGGGCACCACAGCCCACUCAUUACUUCCCUCACUUGCAAGUACUGAUUAUCGUAGAUUGCCCUAAACUCUCAGAGUUGCCAUUUUCAAGCCACAUUGUUUACCCACUGAAACAAGACUGGAACAUAGAUUGGUUUCCCAAACUACAAGAGCUUACGAUGGAAAAUUGCCCUGAAGUCUUGCUGCUGCCUCCUAUCCCAUGGACCCAAUCUCUAUGCUCUGUCGAGAUACGUGACGUGGGAUCAAAAUUACUGGACAAGUUGGUGUACUCAAAAUCAUCUUCUGGGGUAGGGCUGGAAGUUAAUGCAAAGGAUGGUCUGCAUAGCUUAGAUCAGUUGUUACUAUUCAGUCAACUAGCCGAGCUUCAGGGGUUGAUGAUCAAAAAUUGCCCACCUUUGGAGCUGAAGUAUUUUCUAAUGCUAACCUCAUUGAAGACAUUGUGGGCAUGGUCUUCAAAUCUUGGGGUGGUGGCAUCAGAAGUUCAGACUUGUGUAGAAUGGCAGCAUCCUAUCGAGUCCAUUGAAAUUCGGACAUCUAGUUCUUGUGGAAAGGAAUUGACACAUUUCCUAUCUCACCUCCCAAAGCUAUUCAAACUGGAAGUAUAUCGUUGUGGAAACAUAACACAGUUGGCUGUGGGGGUGGAUUUGCAGCAAACAACAGUACCAGUAGUGUCAUCGUCAACCUCUUUAGAUGUUAUUACAAUGGAUGAUACACAAGUGAAAGAUGAGCAGCAAGAAAUAGCAGAGGUGGAGAAGGAGGAGGCAAACACGGUGGAUGAUGAUGGGCUGUUGCUCCUCCCUGCACAUCUCUCCAACUCUCUGCAGACGUUGUUCAUCAACUCCCUCGAAGCCCUCCAAGCCCUAACUAGACUUCAUUUAGAAUAUUGCUCUUUUCGCCACCCUUUCCCGUCCUCCCUGCUACACCUGAAACUUUCGUCCGUGAAGGGCGUGCUGACCUUUCAAAUCUCACCUCUCUCACACGAUUAGAAAUAUAUCGUUGCGGAGAGGAUUUUAGAUGCAAGGGCCUGUUGCCUCUCCUUACUCGGGGCCAGCUCAGCAGUUUAGAAGUCAAUGGAAGCCCCAGUUUCUUUGGUGGGUGGGAGUGGGAUCCCAAUGCCAUGCGGGGGAGGUCCUCCAAACUGCAGGAGGUCGAGACAGAUGACAUCCAGGGCUUCCUCGGUGCGCCCGCCCUCUGUAGCCUCCUCUCUUCCUCCCUCAGCGACUUGCACUUUAGUUGGAACGAUGAGACAGCGCACUUCACAAACGAGCAGGAGGAGGCCUUUCAAUGCCUCACCUCGCUCCAGGUACUCUGGUUUUUGUGUUGUGAUAAGCUGGAACAACUCCCUGCCGCGCUAAACAAGCUGACCAACCUCAAGAGAUUAGUAAUCUUCCGGUGUCCAGCCCUCCGGUCGCUGCCCAAGGGCGGCCUCCUGAGUUCACUGUGAGAAUUAGAUGUCAAAGGGUGCGACAACGAGGAGCUAACAGAGCACUGCAGGCGGUUAAUUGGAACCAUCCCGGAAAUCAAACUAUAGACCAAUGGGCGGACACGGUCCGGGCCGGUCCGGUCCCGGUCCAAGCCGUCGUUUGGACCGGCUGUCGGCGGUACGGUCUGGACCGGGACCGAGCAGGCUGGCGGUCCUCUGGUCAGGGACCGCAUCAACGAGGCAAAAGCCCGGGCCGGACCGGCGGACCGGCAAAUAACUCACCGGCGGCGAGGUGAUGACCAUGGCGUCGGCUAGCGAAGGCUCUAAGCCGUAAUCAGAAGCGGGGACAAAGGGAGAAGUUGCGGUAAGUCAUGUAGAGUUCGAUAGUGAGGUCGGGGAGGCCGGGGAAGUAGCGACGGCGACGCAAUCGACGACGAACGACGACAGCUGGAGCUGGAGAUGGAGCAUGAUGGCGACUGAUUCGUGUCGAAUCCGGUCGAUUCGUUGCGAGGGGAAGGAGAUCUCAUGAUUGCGAAGCUCCUGGAAAUGGUGGUUCGUCAUGGAGAUGCCGGUGACCGCGUCCGCAAGAGCUUGUGCGUUGAACGGUGGCGGCCGCGGCACAGGUACGUGUCCCCCGCCACACCUCCAGCAGUACGCCCCUGCCAUGCCCCCCAUGCUCGUGCCGUCCAGGCUGAGACCAAUCCAAGGUAACAGAUACUUCCUUGCCCGUGCCAAUUCCUUAUUUCCAUAAAUACUCCUUUUUUUUCUGAUCACACACACAUGCCAGCUCGUUUUUCUUUUGGUGUGGUGUACCUCGUUACUGUGUAUCCUGAACAUCGUUUGUCUCCGUCGGCUGUGCAGCUGGUCUCUCCGUCUUGGAGUUGUACAUUCUUCUAGCCUUGUGGAAUUAUAUAUCCGCAUCUAUGGACAGUUGGCUUAUGUGAGGUCCUGUGGUAAUUUUUCAUGUCAAUACAUCUGGUAAGUAGAUGCAAAUUGUCUGAAAAGUAUCUAUAGUUAUCUGUCUGAUAAAAAUUGCCCCCAGUUAUCUUGAGCGCAUGAUUUUUAUUAAUAUACGAGUAUGUGAUUAACAAUUGGAGGGCUUGUCUAUUCAACUGGAAAAUUAGUACCAUUAUGCUUGUGUAAAUUGGUCGGUACACCAAAUACGAGAGUGUGUUCCUACCAGAAUAAAUACACAAAAGUGAGAUUUUAUUUUUUCAUUCGUCUGUGCAAAAUUAACCUUGUUAGCCUGAUCUAAGGAUAGUGUAUGUGUUUGUAUCUCUCCAGAGAUCAUCGAAAAUUUUAAUUAUUCACAAAACGUACCUUGUUUCUGUUUGGCAUAGCACAGGACUAGUUAUUUUUUCCCUCAGAUUCACCGUUUGUUUUUUUCUGCAGGUUUCCUUGUAUUUUUCAAGGAAACAAGUGAAGGGAGAAGAGGAAGUCCCAUUUCUUCAUCAAGUCGACGGACAGUCACGCAAGGUUGAACAUGAAAUGUGUACAAUCUUUUCAGUUUUUUAGAGAGCAGCAGUUUCAGAGCAAUGCAAUUUUGAAAAAGGGCCAUUUGAAUUGUGAAAACAGUGCUACCAUGGAACAUUGAUAGGUUGUACAGCACCGAUGCUCUCAGUGCUUGUUUUGGCAUUGAUUUGCGAGAACUAAGCACCAUGUUGCAUCAUCGAGGAGCUACAACAACAGUUAAUCAGGAACUAUCCUGAAAGUCGUACUAGAGCACUAGACUAAUCCAAGGUAAAAAGAAAGCUUCCCUGUCUGCUCAUCCAAACACCACAUUACCUUGCUUUUUCUUGAUCUCGCAUCAAUUCAUAUUUUGGAUCGGUUUACCUCAUUACUGCAAAAUCUUAACAUUGUUCUUCGAUCUACUUUACAGGUUCUCUUGCGACUUUGGAGUUGUACAUUUUUAACCUUGUCGAAUCCUCCCUGUGUUUAUGCAAAGUUCGUACAUGGGGAUCUUGUGUGGCAUCUUCUGACUGUACAUCAUGCAUAAAUCUGGUAAGUACGUGUUAAACUCCUCCAACCAUAUUACAGAUACGGUGAUACCUAGAUGUUUUCUCUUGAACUGUGAAAUAUCAAGAAAACCAACGUGGUCGUCAGUUAACGCUAUUUCAGAAUUUCCGUCUCUUCCUUCAUGGACGAAAUUUAUCAUGCAUUCAGCAUUUUAUUUGUUUCUUGUGCAGGUGUUGUCAUGCUUGCUCUGGUUGGUUCAGAGAUACUUUGCAGUUACAUUUUGAUGGUCACUCAACAACACUGGCUGGUGUACUUAGCUUAUUUGGCUGUGAGGAUCAUAAUGGUGGUAUAUUGCUGAUUUGCUACUGAAUAUCAGGUUUGCAGUUUUUUCAGUUCGGUAUUACAUUGAUACCGAUUCAAGUUGUUCUUGCAUUCGUCAUAGUUAUUGUUGCUUAAUGAAAAUUUGGUAAUUACAGGACCUUACAAGAAUACCCUUCAUACCAUCAUAGUGCUUGCGUCUUGAGAUCUCAGGCUGUCAUUAAUUGGUAUGCCCAAUGUUGCAUAUCCGCACCCAUAUAAAAGUCUAAAAGGUUACUCGUGUAUUUAUCUUAAGUUUCAAACUUUUAUACUGAACUAAGCUUCUUGGUUGCUUGAUAGAUGUGGCCUGUGGACAAGUUUGGAAUUCAACAAUUAAGUAGUAGCAGAUCUGUGCAAAGGUUAGUAAACCCCGUGCUGAAAUUCACGAUCGCUUUAGCUAUGAUAGGUUGUAUUCAAAGUGUGGAAUUGUCAAACUCUUAUUACCUCAUGAGACCAAGGUUAGAGAACUUGUUGCUUUCCUGAUAAGUUGGCAGUCUAGCUUUUGAGCACGCUCAUAAUAUCUGAAUUCAUUGUCAUGCUGAAUUAAAUAACGCCAGAGAGUUUUCAGCUGAUACAUAUAGUUGUAAAGCUAGAGAACACUUGUUACUAGGUGAUUGAUGAACAUUGAUUGAGCAAAGAGACUUGAGCUUGCUAAUUUUAUUCAUAGAACCUGUUGAGUUGAGUAGGGUGAAGGUGAUUUUAUUCUCUUCUUGAUUUGGAGUAAUUUUUUUCUAUCCCACCAAUACCAAAAACAUAGCAGAUUUCAUGAGCCUUGACUAUUGCAAUUUGAAUAUUUAGUGCGUAUUGUUAAGUUUGAUGUUCCUCUAGUCUGAAGUCUUUCAAAGCCAGUCAUUCUCUUCGCGUAACUUCACAUUUUCUAGCCUGUUCGACACUCGGCAUUGCAUUCCUUCAUAAGGAUAUCACGAACAUUGCCGGCCUACAUAUACAAAUCCCGGAAAUUAUACCGUUGCCUUCCAUUUGUUCACACCAUACCUACCUAUAUAUAUAGUGCAUCACUCCGCGCUUGGUAUUCCAUAGUAGUUGAUUAUUCCAUGAGCACAGUCAUCGAAGUUCGAGAAGACUCUAAAGCGCUUUAUUGUCAUCAACCCUGCAAAAUUCAUUGUUAUGAAGAGCUAUAUUCAUCAGCAUUGAUGCAUCUCUUAGAUACAAAUGAAAAAAAAGAAAUAAAGAAAAAGAGAGAUGAGCAGCAUGCAAAAGAUCAAAGAGUUCAUUCUCAAGCAGGACAAAAUAGCCAGCAGCACUUCCAUAUUCAUCUUCAGAUUAAUCAAACUACUUCCUAUGCAUAUCGAUAAUGGGAACAUUACUCACAUCCUGGGAUCACCAUGCAUUCCAUAGGCCUCUCAAAUCAUUUCUUUGGUGUGACUCCAUUCCCUCCCACAUACCCUGAGACUACCUUUUCCAGUGACUGGAAUGUGAAGACUUCUUUGUACUGGAGUUGAACUCUUAUUUAGCUUUACAAUCUAGAUUUCAGAUUUGCUCAUUUUAUCGAAUUACCUUACCAAGCUCCAGAUAAGCUUUCUACGAAUAUAAAGUAGAUAGGGAAUACUUGGGCUACUGACCAGUGAGGACUAUAAUAAAGUGAUGAGAGUAAUUCCAGAUCAUGACGAGGUAAUCUCACUAGAUACCUGCUCUUGGAAGGUUCACAAAAGAAUAAAAUUGUUGGCUACUCCUGUUUCCUUUUGGUCUUGACAUUGAAGUCAAACAACCAAGUGAUUUGUGUUCAAAAACUGUUAUAGCUAUAUUGUUGAUGCUGGUUACUCUCAAAAAAUGAAAUCCAUUCCUUACUGGCAAUGAAUAAGAGUAGUUAUUUAAGUGUGUGCUCAAUCGCUAGCUUGCUACUUUGAUAAGUUUGUGGGAAGUGUCUCUGUCUGAAGCUCAUGAGGAUUAUAGUAAUUGUUCGCACAUGAGCAUUUGUUUGCGAUCUAGCUAUGCUAAGCUUUCAGGUAUUUCACAAGCACGUGGGCAAGUUGAAUCAGGAGCCUAAAUCAUCUGGAUGUGAUCUGAGAAUCUUUUUCUUGAGGGAAGAAUCAGAAAGGGAGAAGCCUGAGAUGAAUCAUACAUUUUGUUUCUAUUUGUAGCCACUUUCUCCCUAAUAAUGCUAUAAGGAAGAGAGAAUUAUUUUUUCGAACCUACUAUUUCCCUCUAGUAGCUUCAAGCUGUAGCAGGUUUCGAUGGGUGGUACAAAAACAUGCCAAAAAAAUACAUUUGUUUCCUCAGUGUGGAUGACGUAUAUUCAGUUAAAUGAAAUGCAGUUCUUUGCAACAGUAUCUUCAUAUCUGAACCUAUGUUUGGGUGUUAAUUAUUUGGUUGCCUGUGCUAAAGCAUGAUUAAAUAAAUUCAAUGCAAUGGUUGACUGCAGAAUCUUCCUGAUUGCCAUUUGAUAUUCAUCAAUUGGCGAUGGUGACUAAAGUAAUUGUUGCCAUCUUGGUUUCUAUUUUUGGAGAAAAGAAAAUCCUGCGAUUUAUGUUUACUACACAAGAUUUGAACGCAAAAGAUACACAACCAUGAUCUGGAGUCUGGACACACUACAACUAUUGCCUGUCUUGUCCAGGUAUGAUCCGGGGAGAUUUGGGUUUGUUUUUGGGCCCUUACUGAAGAAGUAGCAUCCUAGGAGUAGGGAUGGUUCAUCAGUGAGCAUUCAUUCGAACAAGCAAACUCUACUAACCACGCGCUAGAUCUGAGCUAAGUCUCCCAUUGUCAGUUUCGUGAUGUACAUCUGCUCUGCUUCCUCUGUCUAUGCGUCCGUGCUGCCGACGCUGCCACUGUCACUAAACCAUGUCUCUUCGAAAGAGAUCUGAAGCGAAGCCGCGACAUCGACACUGGCAGAUUUUUUUUGAUAAAUGAAGCUUUUAUUGAAGUCAGAUCAUUACAUCAACAUGAUACGUACAAUCAUGCUGGGAUCACUCCCGGCCGAUGCACACAGCCCACACACACAAGAGCUUUAUAACAAGUGGAAUAACAGAAAAAUGCUAUGGAUCGUCAAUCAUUAGACUAGACCGUCACCCAUCCUCCUGUGUAAAACACUCCCUAAUCACCCGCUUCAAAUGUUGACACGCCGCUGCAACUAACUCCUGAGAACCCGACUUCUAUAGAAUAGCACAGGUACGGAGCCAGUGGGUAACUGAAUAAAUAACCUGUAGUGGAGAUGAAUAUUUUAUUCUUGUUAAAAAACACAUCAUUCCUGCAUAACCAAAGCGACCAACAAGUAGCGCCCGCGCCUAACAUGACUUGUUGUUUUAGGUCAUUCCUUAUGCCUCGUAUCCAACCACUAAAUAUAUGUGACAUACUUUGAGCUGAGAACAACCUGAAGCCGCUUGUAUAAUAGACUAGACGGCCCGUGCAAAACGACAUUCAAAGAAAAGGUGUCGGAUAAUCUCAUCUUUGUGACAAAAGCAACUAUUUUUACUGCCUUGCCAAUUAUGUUUAGCCAAGUUAUUCCUUCACACCUGCACAUUUAGCUUUACAAUCUAGAUUUAAGAUCUGCUCUUUCUUUUUUUACCUUACCAAGCUCCAGAUGAGCCUUUCCACAGAUAUAAAGCAGACGGGAAACACUUCUGCCAUUUCUAAGUGAGGACGACUACCAUUAUGCGAUGAGCGUAAUUUAGGAAUGACGACAUGUUCUUGGAAGGUUAGAGAAGGAAUAAAAUUGUUGGAUGAUCUUGUUUUCUUUUGUUUUUGACACUAAAGCCAAACAACCUAGUGACAUAGCGUUUGAAUACUUUGAUCGCUGUAUUUUUUAUGUUAUUCACUCCCACAAAACUGAAACCCGUCCUCAGAACUCUCGGGUUCCCUCAUGGCAAUGAAUGAAGUUGUCAUUUAAGCUUGUGCUCGAUUGCUAGAUUGCUACUUUGAUAAGUUUGUGGCAUGUUCCUCUGUCCCAAGUCUAUGAGGACUAUAAUAAUAGUUUGCACAUGAGCACUUGUUUGCAGUCUCUCCAUGCUAAGCUUUCAGGAAUUGUAGAAGUAAAUGGGCGCUUUGCUUCAGCAGCUAGCGCGGGUCCCGUGAAGAAAUUUGGUCUGCCAUUGCAAUGCACCGCGGUCGCAGAUGCUGUUUUCCCCUUGAGUGGGGAGUCGGUAAGGGAGGAAGAAGGCUGAGAUAAAUCAUAGCCCUGUAUCUCCAUUUGUAGCAAUGAUGUAUAGUGAAGAAAGAAUGUGCAAUGCUCCCACGUGUUUUUUGUCCAUUAUUUUUUACUAGCUAGCUUCUGUAGUACCUGGCCUAUGAAUGAAUUGUACUAAAACGGAUCAAUCUUUUGAUUCACUAUUGUCAGUAUGGACAUCUAUUUUCAUCGUCCACAAUACCAUCGUAUCUCGACCUGCUGACUGCUGUGUUGUUGGAUUUGGAUGUCACUCUGACUGGUUGCUUGUUCAUGUGGACUGAAAGAGGAUUAAAAAUGUUUACAAUCACAGAGAGAAAUGGAAAAGAGUAGAACGACACAGGCGAAUGAAAACAAGAGCUGGUCUCUCUGUUUUUAGAAGAAAAAAAAGAGAUCUCAUGUGGACUCGGUAGCCAAUCUUGGGCUGUUAUCCGUGGGCCUGACUUACGGAUCUGGGCCCUGCAGGGCUAUUCGGGCUCUUAGUUGGUCCUGUGAUCGUUUCCCUUGGAAAGAAAAAAAAAACCUCCAGUCGUCGCCGGUGACGAGGUCCACACAAACACAAGGCGGCGGCCGACCAUGGAUUUGCCCGAGAUCGCCGCCGGCGACGGAAGCUAUGACCUCUGGAUGCUGCCUCCGCUCGCUCUCCGCCGUGAUCUCCGCACGCGACGCCAGGCGGUAAGCCCUCCUUCUCUUCCUGGCCGGCGCACGGCACGGACGCGUUGGUUUUUCUUGUGUCGCGUUCGAUCGAUUCGAUGCGCUGGCAACUGGCAUGAAGCCGGUGGAUAUGCGUCGGUCCUAGUUCAUGCGAGCCUGUAGUUACUUGUUCUGCAACAUCUGGGAAGGAUUCCUCAGUUCCGUCAGGGUUUCGAUUCAGACUGCCCGUGUGUGCAUGCUUUUAUGGAAAGAACAACAGACUCUCGAUAGUAGCAGUAUUGCAGUAAAGCCCAUUAUUUGCCCCUGCCAGUGACCAAAUCAAAGAAUCGCCUCAGCCUCGGACUUGAUCCUUUCUUGUCCUAAAACAAGAAUCAAGCAGAGGCACAUGCCGUGCCAGACAAGGUGUUCUAAAACUGAAGCUGCACAUAAAAGGUGACUCACAUCACCUUCACCAUCAGCACUGUCACUCGAUUCCUUGUGAUGGUUACCCCUUGCCCACUAAUUCCUUUCCUCUGUUUACAAAAAGGCAUUCUACCGGAGGCCAGCAAGCUUAUAUGUAUAAAUGCUUUGCUUCAUCACCCCACAAAAAGUGAAACAGAAUACGUGUUGCCUUUGUUUUCCUGCCUUGGAGUGUUUGCACCAACUUAGGAUCAGCAAAGCAUCAAUAACUCUCACUGUUUGCAUAACACGAAUUUUAUCAGCUCACUGCUAGCUGCCGGUCGAUGAUGGAUUAAUUAAUUACCCCAUUACUGUCGAAUUCCAGUUGAUGAUCGACGGCAUUAUUUUCUAAUUCUGUGAAUCUUAGAAACAGGUUUGAUCUUUGAUGUACCCAGCAGUGGGCACUAUACAUGUUGUGUAGUAUUGGUGGUGCCCGAUUUAAUAAUGCAAGUCUUUGCUUGCUCUUCCAGUUUCGCAUACGUAAAUUUGAAGCUUCUUGCACCUAUAAAUAUCACCCCCAAGCUUCUUGCACCUAUAAAUAUCACCUCCCAAGCUUCUUGCAUUUCCGCGCCAUCUACCCUCUCUGGUAACAACACUUUGCAGUGCAGUGUGGCAGACCUCCGGUUCUCCUCUUCUGUUGUGAUGAACGCUCGAGCCUAUAUAUAGCCUCCCUUCUAAAACGCACAACUCCCCCCACCCCACCACCACNNNNNNNNNNNNNNNNNNNNNNNNNNNNNNNNNNNNNNNNNNNNNNNNNNNNNNNNNNNNNNNNNNNNNNNNNNNNNNNNNNNNNNNNNNNNNNNNNNNNNNNNNNNNNNNNNNNNNNNNNNNNNNNNNNNNNNNNNNNNNNNNNNNNNNNNNNNNNNNNNNNNNNNNNNNNNNNNNNNNNNNNNNNNNNNNNNNNNNNNNNNNNNNNNNNNACACACACACAUACACACAUCUGCCAUCCAUCUCCCCAAACCCUCUCCGGCUCUCUGCCAGUACGUGAACUCAGCUGUGAAGACAUUCUACGUUCUUACCGUUGGCGACCACCGCCGAACCCUCCCGCCGGGUGCCGACCCAGCACGCGGAAGCGGAAGUGUAUGGAUGCCGUUUUAAUUUGUUUUCUCUGGCAGCGGAGAUUAAAUAUUAAUUAAUCCAUAUUACAGGUCUGGUUACGGCGACUAACUGCAUUUGCAAAUGAAUUCAUCUUACUGAAUGCAGCAUACGUGAAGAGAUCGUUACUGGUACCACCUGUGCGGGCGUGAGGGAUGAAUCUGGCCCUUAACGCGGCGCAGUGGGUGGUUGGCAAGGCGCUUGCACCCGUUGCGGAUGGCUUGCUCGAGGCUUGGGCUGCCAGCAACCAGCUCGGCCCCAACAUGGAGGCCCUCAGAAUGGAGCUGCUGCUCGUGAAGGCCACGCUGGAAAAUGCAGGUGACAAGCAGCUCGACGGCCACCAAGCCCUCGAGGAGCUGCUGCAGAAGAUGCAGGACUUGGCUCAUAAUGCUGAGGACGUGCUUGACGAGCUGGAUUAUUUCCGCAUCCACGACGAGCUCAAUGGCACCUGUGACGCUGCCAACGAGGACGCCAGAGGUUGUGGCCACAAUCUCUUCCUGAAUGCACGCCACACCGCCAAAGCUGUUGGCAAGCUGCUUUCGUGUACAUCUGCUUCCACCUCUGGUGAUCACGUAGAAGAAGAUGCAACACAUCGUGUUCUCUGCUGUGCUCGACCUUGUGCUAGCCACAGAGCACGCGGCAGUUCCUCCUCAGCGCUAGACACCAGUCUGGUCGGUGAGGAGGUCAGCAGCCGCAUGAGCAAGUUCGGUAAAUUCUUCCCUUGCUCUUCCAUUCCAAAUGUUCAUGAUGAUGAUGAUCCAGGCAACUCAAUCCUUUCCGAUGUCCACGCACGCAAGACACCACAGAACAACCCCACUAAAGAAACCACAAUCUUGAGAUUUCAUAGGGUGGAUGUCUCUAAUAGAAUGAAGCAAAUUGUAGAGCAACUACGACCCAUGCGUCAAGAGGUUACGACCAUCCUGCGGGAUUGUAGGCUUAGAAUUGUUGCAGGCCCUGCCCAUAAUCGUCCCACCACAACCUCCGAAAGUCUAGAGCCAACAUUGCAUGGGAGAGACCAUAUGUUGAAUAGCAUCAUCCAUGACAUCACAAAGGGUAAAUAUUGUGGGCAGGAUCUGACUGUGCUUCCGCUGGUUGGCCCCGGAGGCAUAGGAAAGACAACUCUGACACAAUACAUACAUAAUGCACAAGAAGUGCAUAACCAUUUUCAUGUAGUGGUUUGGACAUGUGUAUCUGUUGAUUUCAACCCAAAUAAGUUGCUAGAAGAGAUUAAAGGAAAAAUCCCUGAAGUUGAAGGGGAAAAAGAGGGUGAAGUAGGGAAGGUGAUCGAACAAAGACUAAAAACUAAAAGGCUUUUACUUAUAUUAGAUGAUAUGUGGAAAUGUGGUGAUCGGGAGGAUUGGGAAAGGUGGCUGUUGCCAUUCAAAAAAUCACAAACAAAAGGUAGCAUGAUUCUAGUCACAACUCGGUUUCAAGCGCUAGCAGAAACAGUUAAAACAACCGGUGAUUAUAUAAAACUGGGAGGGUUAGAACCGCAAGAGUUUAGGAAGUUGUUCCUAUCAUAUAUCUUCGGUGAUGAGGAUUCUACAGAGGAUUACACUUACUUGCUCGAGACCGGAGAUAAGAUAAUAGAAAAACUAAAGGGGUCGCCUCUUGCGGCAAAAACUGUUGGUAGAUUACUGAGAGAUCAACUCGAUUUGCAUCAUUGGAAAAUGGUCCUUGAAAGUAAAGAAUGGGAGAAGCAAACUGGAAACCAUGACAUUAUGCCUGCCUUGAAACUUAGUUAUGACUAUCUCCCUUUCGAUAUCCAACAAUGUUUUUCCUAUUGUGCAUUAUUUCCUGAGGAUUACAAGUUCCGUAGCAAACAACUCAUUCACUUAUGGAUAGGACUCGAUAUUUUACAUUCUAGUGGCCAAACUAGAACAACAGAAGACAUAGGUCUGAGCAAUUUAAAUUAUUUGGUCACCCAUGGUUUUUUCCAACCAGUGGAGAGCCAUACUAUAUUAUCCAUGACCUACUACAUGAUUUAGCAUUGACGAUCAUGUCUCAUGAAUGUCUUAGCUUGAAUUUUCCAAAUGUAAGAUCGGUAGGAAUUCAUCCAUGCAUUCGUCACUUGUCCGUAACCAUUGAUAUUGUAGAUUAUAACAAGGCAAUGGCAAGUGAAAACAUGGAGACUGAACUGAGAAAACUAAAGACAAGAUUCAGCGUUGAAAAAUUGCAAACUUUGAUGGUGUUUGGAGAAAUGGAUGAAAGCAUUGCUAGUAUGUUUGGUGAUUUUCUUAGGGAAGCAAAUGCUCUUCGUGUUCUUUGCUUGUCCAAGAUGUGUAUUCCUGUUGAGUCUAUGUUACAUAAAUUUUCAACACUUGUCCACCUACGAUACCUAAGUCUAGGGACCAUGCUUAAGAUGUACUUACCAGAUACAAUCUCUAGAUUUUAUCAUUUAAAGAUUUUGGAUCUAGAAGGAUGGCGUGGAUACCAUGAUGUGCCUAGAGACAUGUGCAACCUUGCAAAAUUAUGUCAUGUUUCUACAGAACGUGAUGAGCUUCAUUCUUGUAUUUAUAAUGUGGGAAAAUUAAAACUCUUACAAGAGUUAAAGGCAUUUAAAGUCAACAAAGAAAAUGAAGGGUUUGAACAAAAGCAACUUGAGGAUUUGGUCGAGCUAAGGGAACUUGGCAUCUACAACCUUGAGAAAAUACAUACACAAGAAGAAGCAGCCAAAGCAAAACUAAUAAACAAAAACUACUUGCGUGUUCUAACAUUAUCUUGGGAUAGUGAGCAAACUAAUGCUAAGCCUGAGAAUGAAGGUUUGGUUCUUGAGAGUCUUCAACCACAUAGAAAUCUCCAAGAGUUAUACAUUAGAGGGAACAAAGGCCCUUCUUGUCCAACAUGGCUGGGUGAUAAAUUCGAUGUUGAAGCUCUAAAGUCUCUUCAUCUCUUUCGUGUUUCUUGGGAUGUCUUUCCUUCGUUUGGGAAGAUGUGGGAUCUCCGUGAACUAACACUCGAUCAUAUUUCCACAAUAAAGGAGUUUGGUCUAGAGGAAAGCCUCUGCAAAUUAUUAAACAAGAUUACACUCACCGGCUUAGGAAAUUUUGAAAAAUGGGUACCACAGCCGACUCAUUUCUUCCCUCAUUUGCAAGUACUGAUUAUCACAGGGUGCCCUAAACUCUCAGAGUUGCCAUUUUCAAGCCACAUUGUUUACCCACCGAAACAAGACUGGAACAUAGAUUUGUUUCCCAAGCUACAAGAGCUUAAGAUAGAAAAUUGCCCUGAAGUCUUGCUGCUGCCUCCUAUCCCUUGGACCCAAUCUUUGUGCUCUGUCGAGAUAAGUGAUGUGGGAUCGGAACUACUGGACAGGUUGAUCUACUCAAAAUCAUCUUCUGGAGUAGCAUUGUUAGUUUAUGCAAAGGAUGGCCUGUAUAACUUAGAUCAGGUGUUACUAUUCAGUCAACUAACCGAACUUCAGAAUUUGAUGAUCAAAAAUUGCCCACCUUUGGAGCUGAAGUAUUUUCUAAUGCUAACCUCAUUGAAGACAUUGUGGGCAUGGUCUUCAAAUCUUGGGGUGGUGGCAUCAGAAGUUCAGACUUGUGUAGAAUGGCAGCAUCCUAUCGAGUCCAUUGAAAUUCGGGCAUCUAGUUCUUGUGGAAAGGAAUUGACACAGUUCUUGUCUCACCUCCCAAAGCUAUCCAAACUGGAAGUACAUUCUUGUAUAAACGUAACACAGUUGGCUGUGGGGGUGGAUUUGCAGCAAACAACAGCACCGACAGUGUCAUCGUCAACCUCUUUAGAUGUUAUUACAAUGGAUGAUACACAAGCAAAAGAUGAGCAGCAAGAAAUAGCAGAGGUGGAGAAGGAGGAGGCAAACACGGUGGAUGAUGAUGGGCUGUUGCUCCUCCCUGCACAUCUCUCCAACUCUCUGCAGACGUUGUUCAUCAACAAUAGUAUUGGUGUGGUAGUUCAUUCCCUCGAAGCCCUCCAAGCCCUAACUAGACUUCAGUUAGAAUAUUGCUCUUUUCGCCACCCUUUCCCGUCCUCCCUGCUACACCUGAAACUUUCGUCCGUGAAGGGCGUGCUGACCCUUUCAAAUCUCACCUCUCUCACCCGAUUAGAAAUAUAUCGUUGCGGAGAGGAUUUUAGAUGCAAGGGCCUGUUGCCUCUCCUUACUCGGGGCCAGCUCAGCAGUUUAGAAGUCAUUGGAAGCCCCAGUUUCUUUGGUGGGUGGGAGUGGGAUCCCAAUGCCAUGCGGGGGAGGUCCUCCAAACUGCAGGAGGUCGAGACAGAUGACAUCCACGGCUUCCUCGGUGCGCCCGCCCUCUGUAGCCUCCUCUCUUCCUCCCUCACCGACUUGUCCUUUAUGGGGGACCAUGAGACGGCGCGCUUCAUAAACGAGCAGGAGGAGGCCUUUCAAUGCCUCACAUCGCUCCAGGUACUCCAGUUUUCGGGUUGUAAUAAGCUGGAACACCUCCCUGCAGCGCUAAACAAGCUGACCAACCUCAAGAGAUUAUGGAUCUCGUGUUGCCCAGCCCUCCGGUCACUGCCCAAGGACGGCCUCCCGAGUUCACUGCAAGAUUUAGAUGUCGAGGAUUGCGAGAACGAGGAGCUACCAGAGCACUGCAAGAGGUUAAUGGGAACCAUCCCAGAAAUCAGACUAUAGAGUAUAGACCAAUGGGUGGACACGGUCCUGGCCGGUCCGGUCCCGGUCCGAGCCGUCGUUUGGACCGGCCGCCGGCGCAGGUACGUGUCUCCCGCCACACCUCCAGCAGUACGCCCCCGCCAUGCCCCGCCAUGCUCGUGCCGUCCAGGCUGAGACCAAUCCAAGGUAACAGAUACUUCCUUGCCCGUGCCAAUUCCUUAUUUCCAUAAAUACUCCUUUUUUUCUGAUCACACACACAUGCCAGCUCGUUUUUCUUUUGGUGUGGUGUACCUCGUUACUGUGUAUCCUGAACAUCGUUUGUCUCCGUCGGCUGUGCAGCUGGUCUCUCCGUCUUGGAGUUGUACAUUCUUCUAGCCUUGUGGAAUUAUAUAUCCGCAUCUAUGGACAGUUGGCGUAUGUGAGAUCCUGUGGUAAUUUUUUAUGUCAAUACAUCUGGUAAGUAGAUGCAAAUUGUCUGAAAAGUAUCUAUAGUUAUCUGUCUGAUAAAAAUUGCCCCCAGUUAUCUUGAGCGCAUGAUUUUUAUUAAUAUACGAGUAUGUGAUUAGCAAUUGGAGGGCUUGUCUAUUCAACUGGAAAAUUAUUACCAUUAUGCUUAUGUAAAUUCGUCAGUACACCAAAUACGAGAGUCUGUUCCUAGCAGAAUAAAUAGUUAAAUACACAAAAGUGAGAUUUUUUUUCUUUUGUUUGUGCAAAAUUAACCUUGUUAACCUUAUCUAAGGAUAGUGUAUCUAUUUGUAUCUCUCCAGAGAUCAUGAGAAAUUUUAAUCAUUCACAAAACCUACCUUGUUUCUGUUUGGCAUAGCACAUGACUAGUUCUUUUUCCCCUCAGAUUCACCAUUGUUUUUUUGCUGCAGGUAUCCUUCAAUCCUUGUGUUUGUCAAGGAAACAAGUGAAGGGAGAAGAGGAAGUCCCAUUUCUUCAUCAAGUCGACGGACAGUCACGCAAGGUUGAACAUGAAAUUUGUACAAUCUCUUCAGUCUUAAUUCAGAGGAGCACUGGAUCUGCAUGGGUUUUCCAGAGAGCAGCAGUUUCAGAGCAGUGCAAUUUUGAAAAAGGGCCAUUUGAAUGGUGAAAACAAUGUUACCAUGGAACAUUGAUAGGUUGUACAGCAGCAAUGCUCUCAGUGUUUGUUUCGGCAUUGAUUUGCGAGAACUAAGCACCAUGUUGCAUCAUUGAGGAGCUAGGACAACAGUUCAUCAGGACUAUCCUGAAAAUCAUACUAGAGCACUAGACCUAUCCAAGGUAAAAAAAAAACUUCCCUGUCUGCUCAUCCAAAUACCCAACAUUACCUUGCUUUUUCAUGCUCUCGCAUAUGAAGUCAUAUUUUGGAUCUGCUUACCUCAUUACUGCAAAAUCUUAACACUGUUUUUCUAUCUACUUUACAGGUUCUCUUGCGACUUUUGGGGAGUUGUACAUUUUUUAGCCUUGUCGAGUCCUCCCUGUUUAUGCAAAGUUCACACAUGGGGAUCUUUUGUGGCAUCUUCUUACUGCACAUCAUACAUAAAUCUGGUAAGUACAUGCUCAACUCCUUCAACGAUAUUACGGAUACCUAGAUGUUUUUUUUUGAACCGAGAAAUAUAAAAAAAAAAAUCAACUUGAUCCUCAGCUGAUGCCAUUCAGAAUUUCCUUCUCUUCCUUCAUGAACGAUUUUAUAAUGAAUUCAAAAUUUUAUUUGUUGUGCAGAUAUUCUUAUGCUUGUUCUGGUUGGUUUCGAGAUAUUGGUCAUCAUUCACCAAAACUUGCUGGUGUACUUGUUAAGCUGUGAGGAUCAUAAUGUGGGAAUAACUGAUAUUUUGCUGAUUUGCUAUUGAAACUAAGGUGUGCAGUUUCUUCAGUUCGAUGCUAUAUUGAUAGGAUAGGAGGUGUACCUGCAUUUUUCAUAAGCUUUGGUGCUAAAUGAAAUUUUGUUAAUUACAGGAACUUUUUACAAGAAUACCUUUCUUACCAUGUCAGUGCUUGCGUCGAGCAGAUUGAGAUCUCGGGCUUUCACUAAAUGGUAUGCCUUGUCUAUUCACACUCUUACAGAAGUAUAAAAGGACUCGUGUAUUUGUCUUACGUUCCGAACUUUUUAGGCUGAACUAAGCUUCUUGGUUGCUGAAUAGACGUGGUCCGUGGACAACUUUGGAAUUGAACAAUGCAGCAGUAGCAGAUUUGUGGAAAGGUCAGUAAACCCCUGCUGAAAUUCGUGAUGGGUUUAGCUAUGUAGAUUGAAUUCAGUGUGCAAUUUUCGAACUCUUAUUGCCACAUGAGACCUAUGUUAGAGAACUUCCUGCUUUCUUGAUAAGUUGGCAGUCUAGCUUUUGAGCACACUCAUAAUCUCUGAAUGCAUUGUCAUGCUGAAUUAAGUUACACAAGAGAGUUUUCAGCUGAUACAUAUAGUGGUAAAGGUAGAGAACACUUGUUACUAGAUGAUUGAUGAACAUUGAUUGAGCAAAAAAAGACUUGAGCUUGCUAAUUUUUAUUCCUAGAACCUCCUGAAUUUAGUAUGGUGAAGGUGAUUUUAUUCUCUUCUUCAUCCCGAGUAUUUUGUUCUGUCCCACCAUUGCCAAAAACAGCAUAUUUCGUAAGUCUUUGAUUAUUGCAAUCUGAAUUUCUAGUGCGUAUUGUUAAGUUUGAUGUUCCUCUAGUCUGAAGUCUUUGAAAUCCAGUCAUUCCAUUUGCGUAACUUUUGUUGUCUAGCCUCUUCAACACUCGUCAUUGCAUUCCUUCAUCAGGAAACUCUGCUGGUGUACAUAUACAGAUCCCAGAAAAUAAACCAUUUCUUCCAUGUGUUCACACCAUACCUACCUAACCACCUACCUAUAAUCACAUCUCUCACUAUCCCACAGUAGUUGGUUAUUCCAUAAGCACAAAUGCACAAUCAUCAAGUUAAAAGAAGACUCAAAAGCGCUUUGUUGUCAUUGACCCUGCAAAUUUCAUCAUUAUGAAGAGCUAUAUUCGUUAAUAUUUAUGCCUCUCUCACAAAAGUCAAAAAAGUAAUAAAGAAAAAGAGUGAGGGAGGUCAUUCAAAAGAUUAAAGGUUCAUCCACAAGCAGGAAGAAAUAGUCAGCAGUCCUUCCAUAUUCAUGUACAGAAUGCAAAAUGGCUAAUCAAACUACUAUAUACCUAUGCAAUAUUGACAGCUGGAGUAUGAGUCGCAUCCUGAGACCACCUUGCAUUGCAUAGGCAUCUCAAUCAUUUCUUUGGCGUGAGUCCAUCCCUCCCACAUCCCCUGGACACUACCUUUCCCCAAUGACUGGAAUGUGAAGACUUCUCUGUACUGGAGUUGAACUCUUAUUUAGCUUUACAAUCUAGAUUUCAGAUUUGCUCAUUCUUUUAAUUCCCCUACCAAGAUCCAGAUAAGCUUCCACAAAUAUAUUGUAGAUAGGAAAACACUUUUGGCACUGGCUAGUUAGGAUUACAAUUAUGUGAUGAGAGUAAUUUCGGAUCAUGAUGAGGUAAUCUCACUAGAUACCUGCUCUUGAAAGGUUCACAAAGGAAUAAAAUUGUUGGCUACUCCUGUUUCCAUUUGUUCUUGACAUUGAAGUCAAACAACCAAGUGAUUAGUGUUCAGUAACUGUUAUAGCUAUAUCGUUGAUGCUGGUUACUCUCAAAAAAUGAAAUCCAUUCCCUACUGGCAAUGGAUUAGAGUAGUUAUUUAAGUGUGUGCUCAAUCGUUAGCUUGCUACUUUGACAAGUUUGUGGGAAGUGUCUCUGUCCGAAGCUAAUGAGGAUUAUAGUAACUGUUUGCACAUGAGCACUUGUUUGCAAUCUAGCUAUGCUAAGCUUUCAGGUAUUUCACAAGCACAUGGGUAGGUUGAAUCAGGAGCCUAAAUCAUCUGGGCACAAUCUGAGAGACUUUUUCUCGAGUGAAGAAUCAGAAAGGGAGAAGCCUGAGAUGAACCGUAACUUUUGUUUCUGUUUGUAGCCACUUCGUCCCUGAUAAUGCUAUAAGGAAGAGAGAAUGGUUUUUUCACACCUAGUACUAUUUUUCCUUGUAGCUUCAACCUGUAGCAGGUUUCAAUGAGUGGUAUGAAAACAGGUCAAAAAAUUUCAUUUGUUUUCUCGGUGUGGACAUGUAAAUUAAGGGAAAUGAAAUGCAAUUCUUUGCAAUAGUAUCUUCAUAUCUGAACCUAUGCUUGGGUAUCAAUUUUAGUUGCAUGUGCAACCGGAUAUAAAUAAAUAAAGACACGGUAAUGGUUCACUGCAGAAGCUUCCUGGUUGCCUUUUGAUAACCAAUUGGCAACCUGAACCAAUCACUCGUUAGCAUGUUGUUUUUCUUUCCUUAGGAAAAAACCGCGAUUUCUGUUUACGACACAAGAUUCGACAAGAUACACAGGGUUUUGUUGUAUGCACAGCCAUGAGCUGGAGUCUAUUGAAAAUAACAUAAUGUGACAGCAGUCACGGUUGAUCUCCUCCUCCUCUCUCGGUUUAACCCCGUUGAAGAUUUUUAGAAUCCCCAAAAACCUAAUAGAAUAAAAGAUACGGGGCUUUUAAGAUUUAGAGGGAAAAAUGGAAAAAUUUCAAACUUAGUAAUGACGCACCAUUUGCUAGGUGCGCCACUAGUAACAGAUAAAAAAAUUGGUUUCGAUUUUUUUUUUUGAAAAAAUGUUCAAAAUAUGAUACGUAAUAUGACUGGGAAGUUUGAAAUAUUUUUUAUAUGAAAAAUCAUCUACUUGAAAAGUUACACCUGAAUUCAACAGGGGGGACCCGUUGAAGAUUUUUAGAAUCCCCAAAAACCUAACAGAAUAAAAGAUACGGGGCUUUUAAGAUCUAGAGGGGGAAAAUGGAAAAAAAAUUCAAACUUAGUAAUGGCGCACCAUUUGCUAGGUGCGCCACUAGUAAUAGAAAAAAAUUGGUUUUGAAUUUUUGGUAAAAAUGUUCAAAAUAUGAUACGUAAUAUGACCGGAAGUUUGAAAUAUUUUUUUAAAAUUUCAUCACAUUCUUAACAUGAACAAAGUCCUAGACAUCAACAAGGUUUAAUAGGAUUGAUAUGAUAGAUAUAUCAACAAGUGCCUGUUAAGUGAGCUGGUGCUGGGGUUGAAUAGAACUGAUAAGCCAUGUUGUUAAAGCUGCUUCUAUUGGUCUAGUUUUAUCCAUUGUCGUUUCCAAGGGAUUGAGUCUUCGCCAGCUAGAUGUGAAUAAUGUGUUUCUUCAUGGUGUUCUGAAAGAGGAAGUGUAUAUGAAACAACCUUCUGGGUUUGAGGAUAAGAAUUCACCAUUUCAUGUCUGUAAGCUUGAUAAAGCCUUGUAUGGACUGAAACAGGCUCCCAGAACAUGGUACUCUCUCCUUAGUGCAAAGAUGCAGCAGCUUGGGUUUGUGCCAUCAAAAUCUGACACAUCCUUGUUUAUUUAUAACAAGUUCAAGACAUCCAUAUUUAUUCUCAUAUAUGUUGAUGCUAUCAUUGUAACUAGUUCCUCUAAUGAUGCAAUUGCUGGUUUGCUUAAGGAUUUAAGUUCAAAAUUUGCUCUAAAGGAUCUAGGGGAGUUGCAUUUCUUCUUAUGAAUUGAGGUAAAGAAAAUAAAGGAUGGUAUUAAUCUCUCCCAAGAAAAAUAUGCAAAUGAUUUGUUAAAUAGAGUUGGCAUGAAGGAUUACAAGCCGUCACCUACACCUUUGUCCAGCUCGGUGUCAUUGACUCUGACUCCAGGAGAACUCUUGAAUCAGGAAGAUAAUACCAGUUAUUGGAGUUUUGUUGGUGCUCUUCAGUAUUUGACUCUGACUUGGCCUGAGAUAUCAUUUGCAGUAAACAAAGUUUGCCGGUUUUUGCAUGCACCCACCACUGCACAUUGGACAGCAGCAAAGCGCAUUCUCAGGUAUGUGAAGAAUACAACCAGUCUUGGUUUAGCUUUUAGAAAAUCUUCAUCUACUCGUAUUAGUGCCUUUUCCGAUGUGGAUUGGUCGGUUGUCUUGAUGAUAGAAGAUCCACUGAUGGGUUUGCAAUUUUCUAUGGGCCAAACUUAAUUUCAUGGUGUGCCAAGAAACAAGCAACUGUCUUAAGGUCAAGUACAGAAUCAGAAUAUAAAGCAUUAGCAAAUGCAACAGCUGAGGUGAUUUGGUUGAUGUAUAUGUUGAAGGAACUUGGAAUUCAACAAACUUUGCCUCCUUGUCUCUGGUGUGAUAAUCUAGGCGCUACAUACUUGUCUGCUAACCCCAUGUUUCAUGCCAGGACUAAGCAUAUUGAAAUAGACUUUCACUUUGUGAGAGAACGAGUUGCAAACAAGCAGUUAGAAAUCAGAUUUAUCCCCUCCAAGGAUCAGCUUGCAGAUGGGUUUACAAAAGCAUUGUUAGCUAGAGGCUUUGAAGAGUUCAAACGUAAUCUCAACUUGGAGCGCAAUUGUAAUUAAGGGAGGGUAUUGGACAUAACAUAAUGUGACAGCAGUCAUGGUUGAUCUCCUCCUCCUCUCUCGGUUUAGCAUGGCUCGUGUGCCAAGGAUAGCUAGAGGUAUAGAUAGAGUUUGUUAUAGUUUAAAGUAGUUCGAGAUUAUAUCCCUUCUUCUGUUUCUACUCAAAUCGAACAUUGUAAUCCUCGGUUCUCUCGUUCUAUCAAUAUAAACCCGCAGGCUCUCCUCUGAAGGGUUGAGACGCUUCAUCAUCUUUCGCAAAGUCAGCAGAACACAGGCCCUUGCUGAAGAAGUAACAUCCUUGGAGUGGUUCAUCAGGGAGUACUCAUUGACUUGCGUCCAUUAAUAUACAGUAACGGGGAAACAUAUUGAACGAUCAAACUCUACUAACUGUUAGGAAUUAAUUAAUAAAUACAUUAAUUAAGGGAUAAUCCCUGCUAUGUCGGUUGCUUUAGUUUAGCAACUGCUCCUUGUAACCGCCUUUGUACUCGGGUAUAUAUACCCACAUCUUCAAUCAACGAGAGAGCGAUUUUCAUCAUUUGCUCUUCUUCUCUCUUUUAUUCUUCACAUGUUAUCAGCACGCCUCUGCAAGAGCGUUAGGCCACAUGACAAGAGAGAAGCAGCGAUGAGGCCAUGCUCGCCGUCGGCGAGACUAUGGUGCACGACGGAGACGGGGAUGCAACGCGGCGACCUUUGUCCCGACACUGCUCCUCCCGGCGCAGCACUCCAUGGCGUGUUGCGCCCAACGACGUGGCACCACUUGGUCUUGACCGAUCGGCAGAACCCGCUGCAGACGCGCUCCCAUCGCGGCUCCCGAUGACGAACGGCCAACAACCAGCGAUCGGAGCAACGAAUCCAUCCUUACACUGUCCCGGACCUCCUGUCCCCGACGCCGGCAGCAGUGAAAACUGGCGGUUACACCGCCGCUCCCGAUCUGAACAACGCCACCAAGGUGGAAGAAGAGGAGACGAAGGGCCAGGGCUCGUCGUCGACGCCGUCGCCUCCUCCAUCACCGGCGACAUCACUACCGCCUCCAACGCCACCCCUCCUCCCGACGCCUCCACCGGUGGUGCGCCGCAUCCUGCAGUAGUUCGCCGCGGCCAUGGCGCAGAUCCGCGCAGCCGUCCGGGGCGCGUGGUCGCCGGUGGCCCUCACCCUCACCGACGCCCCCGGGUCGAGCAACAACGGCGGGGGCGGUGCGGUGACAAGGGGAUCACGCCACCUCCCUUAAGACGACGGCAUGGGGUAGGGGAGGGCCGGCGUGGUGAGGUGUUGUGCACCAGAUCGAUCUGAGAGUGGGGAACGGGUGUAACGACGUGGGGAAACCCUCGUCCGUGCGCUCCUUAUCCUUUCCUUUGUGGAUGCAUGGGCCAGCCCAAGUCAUAACGUUCCUCACCCAAACAGGCCUGCAGCCAAGAAUUCCAAUAAAGUGGAUGCGCGUUGUGGUGUUUUCAACAAAAGAUAACCAUAGUAUUACCAUAUUGCACAGCAGCAUGUUCCUUUUAUUUCAUUGUGAUUUCUUAUUGUAUUAAGAACCUAUUUUUAUCAUAUUCAUUCAAUAUUGUAUUAUACGUUUGAAUAUUUAGACUAUGUAUCGUCUAAAAUAAAAUCUCGAACUAUGUGUACAUAUUCUAUAUGAUUGCCUCAGCAUUUUUUUUAGAAUAUGUAAUUCUCAAAUACAACAUUUUUUUACAAUUCAAAUUUUGGGAUCACAAGGUAGAUGAGGCAUCUACUGCACUUUGCAGAUUAUCCUCAUCGAUGAAAGAUCUACAUUUGCCUCCUUCUUUUGGCAAAAUGACUAUCUUCGAGUGCUCUCCCGAAUAUGUGAAUUGAUGUGACUACCUCAACUUUUUGCGAAUCACAAGGUAAUUGUGCGAUCUACUGCAUAAUUUGCAGACUAUCCACUAUUACUGCAAGGUCUACAUCAUGUCACAUUGACAGAUGAUUACCUUUAAAGUAAUUUUACAGAUUUAGCAUAACAUAAGGUAAUAGAAUUAUAAACAUCUACUGACAAAAGUUAGACUAUGUUUUCUAUUACUAAGAGAUCUAUACCAUAUUGGUGAUUAUCUUCAAAGUGUCAUCCUAUAUAAAUUGAGGUCUACACAUAUGGCUAUAAGGCAUCAGCCGUACUAAAAUUUGCUCCUCUGAAGCAUUUAUUGUUGUUGUUCACUAAAAUAUAUUACGCUCAUAGUAAAAUAUCAUUCAUGCAUAGUCACUACAGGCUGAAAUAGUAUUUUUGUGCCAAUAUGAAUUAUUCAAGCCUCAAUUUUCUUGAAUAGGUCUUCAGAAAUUAUGCAAAUAUUUGCAUACUCCAACGAUUACCUUUUAUUACAUUGGUAAAAUGCAUGGCACUGAAGCCGAUGUCAUUAUUUCUAAUUACAGCGACGUUCGUCCAUCAAGACGGGUACCAUAAUUUAUGGCAACGAUUGAGUGUAUCAACACUUCCGGAAGGUCCACAUCAAAAUGUGGUUAUACUUUCAUAGUUACUAACCAAUGUUAAACAUGCAAAGUCUAUACAUUUUGGAGUGAAAUAAAAUCUCACACUUCCUCAAGAAUGAAGUCCAAAACAUUAGCAAUGAUUUCAUCGCAUGCACUAUAUUGAAGGUUUACACCCCAUGUUCACCAAGCAUCACCUUGGCGGAUUUUGGUCAACAAGAUCAUUUCAUCCAUAUAGUUUAUUUUACUCCAAGAAGUAAAUUAAAUAAUGCAUGAUCAUUUCAUGUAACACAUGGCUAUUCUAUUGAUGCACAUAUGCAUUUUAUAUGUCACCAACUUCACUUGGUUCUCGAACUAAGUACACAAUGAAUGAAUACAUAUUCACCUUGAAUAUUCGCUUAAGAGAAACAUGCUACCAUGAGCACAUCGCGAAUGAUCUCCCAUUAGUUUUUUCAAAGACAUCAAGUCUUAUCGUGACUCACAAUUAUGUCACCUUAAUCAAUUUCAAGUUGAGAUCUCAUGAUCAAAAUCUUCAUAUGCAUAUCCGAUUGAAAAUCCAUUAAUACACUUUACAUCCUCUAAUGAUGGUGCUACCAUUUUCCAUGAUGAAGGAACAUGGAAUUUCUCAAAAUCAUCAUAUUCACCCAACGGGUGCUAUACCAUUAUUUCAUAUAUUUGCUAGUAGUGAGAAUACUAAGCAAGUCACUGAUCACAAAAUAAAACCAUGAGGAAUUCAAAGUAAAGUGGAGGCUAAAGACAACCAAUGACAGAACUACCUUUUAAUUAGGAAUUGAUCAUUUUUAAUGAUCACAAAGACAACUCUCAAGUUUGCGUAAUUCAUUUUUCAGUAAUAUGGGAGACCUCAUGUAAUAUCCUGAUUAUUCCCAAAAUAUUGUUUGCCUGUACUUAUACUACUACAUGUAGUGCAAUAUCCAAUAUCCUAUUUCUUGGACAUUAUAUUUGAUAAAAGUUUUGAAUGCAUGAAUCAUAUCAUACUCAGUUUUGUUGCGUACAAAAUAAUUUUCUAAAUCUUACAGAAUAUUUGGCUUUAAGCCUUACAAUCCUGGUUUGUGGUUGAUUAGAAAAAAUAUUGGCAAUUCUAUUGGUCACAACUUUUUAAGUUACAAUAUUUCCCAAAUCAUCAGAUUUUAUAUGCACUACAUGUGCCAUAGGGAAAAUAAGUUUUAAGGCUCUUUCACCUUACAAUUCCAAACGAGCCACUCAUUCUUCCUUGAACACAUUCAGAAGAUAUGUGGAUUACUCAACCAUUAUGUUGUCCUAUAUAGAUACUUCAUGGCACUCAUGGGAACAUUUAUAAAAUGAUUUCAAGUGUGUCUCUUGUCACACAGAACCAUGAAUGACCUUACCAAAUUAAUCGCUCAACUUAUCAAAGUAAGAGCAAAUUAUCCUGGACAACGGAUAUACCCAUUUGAAUGGACAACUUCGUUGAGCUCAUUUCACAAGAAAUAUCUGAUUAUAUAUAAUACUUAAUGUACAUACACAGAAUGGUUUAGUUCAAUAUCUUAUCAAGGGUAGUGAAAUUAGUAAUAUGACCAAACUUAUAGAUUUGUAAUUUACUAGCCUCUUGCUAGAUAAAUACGACAUUACACGCCGUAAGUAUAUGAUAUAAAUCAUACCCUUUGUAGUAAUUAUGUGGAAAUCAACAAAGUAUUUCCUAUCUGCGAUAAUUCGGUUACAUACCGAUAUCACCACUCCAACAUACAUCAAUGGGCCCUCACAAAAACUAAUAAUAAUUAGGGAUCUAUGUGAGGAAUAACAAUUUAUCCGUCAAUCAAAAUUAUUCAUAGCCCGUAUGCUGAUUGCUUCAGCAAUAAGGACAUUUCUGGCAUUAGGGGAGAUAAGUACCACAAAGAAUGCCAAAAAUAAAUUAGAAAUAUUGUUCAUAUUCAAUCCUUAUAUCCACAUACUCAAAGAAUCUGAAUAAGAAGUUUAGAAUCACAUAUUUGCAACACAUUGCAAAUCUGCCACAUGCAUUUACUGAUGACAAAGGUGUCACUCAAAUUUAUAUUCCUACAAUAUAGUGUCAGAAAGAGUGGAGGUACCUGAUAAACCACUCUUCUCCCCAAAUGAGAGCAAUAGGGGGAGAAAUCUAACCACAUGAGAUAUAAUCUCGCAUAUGCUUCCGCGGAAACAGAGGAAAUCAAAUCCUCAACCAGUAAAUGUAAUUCAACAUCAAGUUGAAAGACACCUCACUCGAUGCUCAUCAUCCAAAGCCUGACAUAAAUGUGCACAAAUGUUUUGGUGUGAGGACAUCGAAACACCUUGACUCCAUUGUUGUAGGAAAUCACAAGGAGUUAAAAGGAAUAAAUACAUUUCCACAAAUUUCAUUGAUUCCUCGCGAAUCAUAUAACAUAAGUCUACAUUUAUCGACAUAUAUUUCUUCUCAAAAAUUGCUAAAACCUUUUGGGCCCUGAACCAAAAUCCAUGAUAGAGUGCCUCUUGUGAUCAUAUUGGUUCACAUAAAAGGAAGCAAGUACUGAAGAAUAGCACUCGCUCUACAAACGAGUGGUAUUUACCACAGUAAUAUCUACUCCUCAUAAGUAUCUUCCAUAUGGAAUACUAAAAACUUCUCAUUCAUAGACAAAGUCAAUGAGGUGGUGAGAAAGCGAGGCUUAUAGCAAAAGGGUUCACGCAGAGACCCAACAUAAAAUUAUGAUGUAACAUACACUCUUGGUAUGAGUGGAAUUAAGUUUCGAUAAUAAAUAUCAUUAGCAGUACAAAUAAUAUUAUCCAUGCAGUUAAUGGAUGCAGUAACUACAUACUCAUAUGAGUUACUCAUUUUGGAAAUUUAUAACGAAGUCCCUGAAGGGCUUACAAUUCCAAAUCCAAAAUAAAUCGCAACAUAUUUGUGUAAAAUUUCAGAAGUCACUCUAUGGCUCAAAAUAGUCAAAAAUAAUAUGGUACUACAGACUAAAUGUUUUUCUUCUUCCGAAGGAUUACUCAAAGAAUGAUGAUUGUUUAUGUGUUAACAAAGGAAUCCCAAAUUUGAAUUCCUUAUAUCGCCUCAUUGUAUAUCGAUGAUUUCAUCAUCUAUGUAUCUACAAGACCUAAACAUACAUAAAAUCAUCUCAAGACGGAAAAUUUAGAUUUAACCAAAUUUAGCUUAAGUUUACAACCUGGGCAUUCUAUCAAGAAUACGUAUUAGUCUACAUAUAUCCAAAACAUAUACGAGAAGUUCAGUGUGGAUAUAUCAUAAUAACAAAAGACAUGUAUAGUCAUACUACCUUUGAUAAGGUACAAAUUCAUUCAUACCUAGGGGUGAUGUUGAAGUGAUACUAGGACCUGAAGUUCUAUAUCUCACUAAUGUCAAAGGACUCGUAUACUUGCAAACUACGUCAAGCGUGACACUAUAUUUGCUAUCUUUAUUCGGAGUGCAACCCCCAACAAUAGGUAUAUGAUUGAUAUAAGUAAUAUCAUAUUAUAUCUGAAGAUUUUAGUAAAUCUUGGAUAUUUCCAUCAGGAAAUAGAACAUAUGACCAUGAUACGAUGUAAUGAUAUUGGCUCUUUAUUUGAUCCAAACAACACCAUGUGAAUGACUGAAUUUGCUACAAUAGCCUACAUAUGGAAGUCAUGUAAAUAUGACUUUAAUGAUUAUUCCCACUUAUCAUUUUGACAUAAUUGCUUUAUCUAAAAGCAUUGCAAGAUAUGUAUGGCUUGGCAGAAUGAUUUACCACAUUCAAAAUCAUGUGGUUGAGAUUCAUCAGAAUCACAUAACUUGAUUUAUCAAGAUACUUUCACUUGUGUUACUCAAUACCUAUAGGUUAUAUGAAGAGCAAUAUCAUAAAUCACAUUACUCGGAAAUUACUUAUCCUCACGGAUUAUAGAAAAGUGAGGAAAUAAUUUGCAAAUAAAAUACUAUGAUAAUCCAAGAGAUUAUACACAAUCUCAUGUUCAUGUCAAUGGAAUUGGUAUGUGACAUCCUCCAUAUUUGCAAAGUUCACGAGGAGUAAUCUCCCAAACUAUAACCUAUUAACAAUCAUCAGAUUGCAUAUAUUGUAUGCCUUUUCCCUUGAUGAGUUUUUUUUCCUAAUGGUUUCUCAUAAAAGGUUUUUACCGAGACAAUAUAAACACAAGUGUUUGUAUAUACCAUAUCAUUUUCUCCUUAUAUUUUUCCCACUGGAUUUUAAACGAGUUUUCAAUGACAUGUCAGAUGCACUCUUUUCCUUUAUGAGUUUUCUCUCAAAGUUUAUCAUAAUGGUUUUUAAUGAGGCAAUAUGUUAUCAAACAUCAUAUGUUAUACUUUCUAUUUUCCUUAUCGGGGUUUUUAAAGAAAGUACUCAAGACAUAUCAAUUAUUCUCUAAACUCACCAAUGAGUUUUCUCCUUCUACAAAGGUUUUCUCAAAUGAGUUAUCACGAGACAAUAAUCAUUAUAUGUUGUAUCAUUUUCUCCUUAUUUUUCUCACGGGGUUUAAAGGAGUUUUAGCAACAUAUCUAUACUAUUCUCCUCAUAUUUUUCCCACAGGGUUUUUGGAGGAGACGUUAAAGAUUAUACAACGAUUUCUCAAGAUGAAGAUGAUGAACAUUCUCAAAGGCAAGAACAUACAAGGAGUAUAUUUAUCAAGAUGAUGCACAUUUACAAAGACAAGCAUUGAUUAGGGAAAGUGUUAGGAAUUAAUUAAUAAAUACAUUAAUUAAGGGAUAAUCCCUGCUAUGUCGGUUGCUUUAGUUUAGCAACUGCUCCUUGUAACCACCUUUGUAUUCGGGUAUAUAUACCUACAUCUUCAAUCAACGAGAGAGCGAUAUUCAUCAUUUGCUCUUCUUCUCUCUUUUAUUCUUCACACUAACCACGAGGUGAUAGAUUCGAGCCAAGUCACCCAUUUUUCAGUUUCGCAAUGUACGUCUGCUCUGCUUCCUCUGCCUACGCGGCGGCUCUUCCGCCACUAUCACUAAACUACGACUGAUCUGAAGCGAUGCCGCGGCACCGACACCGACACCGGCCGGUUGGACCUGGAAUGCUCACGUGGCUCUUCUGCGUCCAGGUCAGGAAGGAAAACAACGCCUUGCCAGUUGCCACGUGAACGUGAGGAGUGCAGUGAGCAGCUCAAGACUGAAUGAAGACUUGGUGUGAUAUUUGAAGCUGAGCCUUUCUUUUCCUAUUUCGCUUGCGCCACCGGGUUCUUAGCUGACAGCGACUUGUUAAGUUCCAUCAUAUCCGUUGGAGCCAUCGCUACAUUUGUAGCCACUCGUCAAAUCCUUUCUACUAGUACUCAGCUGAGCUACCCAGCUCAAUCUUUUCACUUUUCAGAUUUUUCAUUUUUCACAUGAUGCCUCUCUGCCAGAAUUUGUCCUUGGUGGUUUAAUUUCUGAGAUUUUACGAAUCCGUGCGAUGGUAAAGCUUUGUCAGGACUUUCACCACCGUGCACCGUACCCGCAAAGCCAUCGCUCACGGACAGGUCUCAGACGAAGCCUAAGAGCAAUUCCAACGCACCAAUCCAAACGGACGACUAUUUGUCCAUAUUUUGUCCAUUUAUAAAUCGGCCCGAUAGACAUCUGGAUCUCUUUUUGAAAUUGAUUCGUCACUUGCUCCUAACACGGUCAAUGACCCAUGUUUAGACGACACGAAAAAGUCAUAAGAAACAUUUUAAAAAUACAUGAAAUAUUAAUUAACAUUUAAUGCCGGUUUGGAAGGUCGGUGAUAGUCCACGUUACAUUAAACGUACAAUUAAAUAAACUAAAAGUGAGGAAGCGUGCUGCCUUAGGCAUCCUCCUCCUUGUCGUCAUUGGGGCCGGUGAGGUCGACGAGCGUCGGCGCCGGGCCAGUCCAGGGGAAGGUCAUCUCCCACGUGGCGGAAACGUCAUCCGUCGAUGGUUGCACCGGCGCUUGCUGGGUAGCACGUCGCCCCUCCUCCUCGGCUCCGGACUCGCGCAACAUCAACUCGAUCUGUCGGGCCUCUGCGUCCUCCUUCCUCACCCGCGUCGCACCCAACCAGACGGGGGCACACUGACCCACUCACGCACCACCCCGUCCUAGGCACCACCCCGUCCUAGGCGUACAUCUCGGGCAUGAGGACCAGCAACCCUGACUCGGAGGGAGGCGGCGAUGCCAACAGUGGCAGGACGCAGUCGCCAAUAGUGGAGAGCGCAAUGGCCUCCGAUAGCUGCUUCUUGUAGGCCUCCUUCUCCUCCUCCUUCUUCAGGCGCACCUCCUCCUCGCUCGCACACAGGACGACCGCCAGGGCGUUCUGGUACGCCACGUCCGCCUCCUGGUCUUUUUCGUGCAUGACGAGGGGCGACGGCGGCCUAGCCACCACCUCGUGGACUAAAAUGUAGUUUUGGCUACGAGUGUUAUGUUCCAUAAUUGAGCGCUCGAUCUUAACACGAUCGGGGUUGUUAUGGGGACCCCCUUGAUAAUUCGUUUUAGUUUAAGACUGGUUUGGCAAGGCCCAACUUUGAUACUACAUUUUCCUAAUAAUUAAUGAACCUCAUAGGGAGUAAUUAACCCGAGGAAAUUUAAUCAACCCCGGGCCAGUGCUCCGCAUGAGUGUUGGUCCAAACUGGCACACUACGGGGCCACAGCGGGGCAACCCGAGGUUUGGUUUUACUCCUAGUGUGACCCAUCCGUCGUGUCCCGAGAACGAGAUACACGGCUCCUAUCGGGAUCGUCGACACAUUGGGCGGCCUUGCUGUAUUAGUUUUACUUUUGAUGAAAUAUCUUGUGCAUUGGGAUUCCGGUGAUGCUUUGGGUAAUCUGAGAGCUGAGGUUUUCCACUAAAGAAUCUGAGGAGAUAACGAGUUUCGUGAUCGAGGCUUUCUAAGCGGCUUGUGGUAAUUUGUGAUGGACUAGUUGGAGCACCCCUGCAGGGUUAAAUCUUUCGAAAAGUUGUGCCCGCGGUUAUGUGGCAACGUGGAAACUUUGUUUAACAUCCGGUUCUAGAUAACUUGAAGUAAGCUUAAUUAAAACUUGCCAACUGAGUGUGUAACCGUGACUGUCUCUUUUCUGAGCUCCUUCUCCGAUCGAGGACACGGUGGGGUUAUGUCUGACAUAAGUACGUGUUCAAGAUCAUUAACUUGAUCAUCAGUAGUUCACAUCCGCUAUGCGUAGAUCUUCUCCCUCUUUUAUUCUUGUACUCGUAAGUUAGGCACCUCAAAUAAAUGCUUAGUCACUUGCUGCAGCCUCACCACUUAAUCAUACGUCACCCAUUAAGCUUUGCUAGUCUUGAUACCUUUGGAAAUGAGAUUGCUGAGUCUCCUGUGGCUUACAAAUUACUACAACACCAGUUGGUGGCACAGGUAAAGAGUUACUUUGACGUGAGCGCGUCGAUUGUUCUAUUUGGAGUUCUUCUUCUCCUUCUUCGAUCUAGGAUGGGUUCCAGACCGGCAGCCUGGGAUAGCAAAGAUGGACGUCGUUCUUUUAUCGUUUGUUUUCGUCCGUAGUCGGAUCAUGCUCUUCUUCAGGAUGACUGAAUAUUAUUGUAUUAAUGUGAAUUUGAUGUAGCUUGUGGCGAGUGUAAGCCAAUUCCAUAUACUAAUCUUUUCAGUACAUGUACUUGUAACGAUAUCCAUUCUUGCAAAACGACGAGAUGCGUUUAUAUCCCUGUCGAGGCCCUCGCGUCAAAAUAAGGAUAAGACCGCAUCUUGGGCGUUAUCCCUUGAUACUUGCACAUUUGGCUUUACAAUCUAGAUUUAAGAUUUGCUCUUUCUUUUUUACCUUACAAGCUCCAAAUGAGCUUUUCCACAAAUAUAAAGCAGACAUGAAACACUUCUGCCAUUUCCAAAUGAGGACUACCAUUAUGUCAUGAACGUAAUUUAGGAAUGAUGGCAUGUUCUUGGAAGAUUAGCGAGGGAAUAAAAUUGUCGGUUGAUUUUGGUUUCUUCUGUUUUUGACAUUGAAGCCAAACAACCUAGUGACAUAGUCUUUGAAUACUUUGAUCGCUGUGUUUUUUAUGUUGUUCACUCCCACAAAACUGAAACCCGUCCUCAGAACUCUCGGGUUCCCUCAUGGCAAUGAAUGAAGUUGUCAUUUAAGCUUGUGCUCAAUUGCUAGAUUGCUACUUUGAUAAGUUUUUGUGGCAUGUUCCUCUGUCCCAAGUCUAUGAGAACUAUAAUAAUAGUUUUCACAUGAGCACUUGUUUGCAGUCUCUCCAUGCUAAGCUUUCAGGAAUUUUAGAAGUAAAUGGGCGCUUUGAUUCAGCAGCGCGGGUCGUGUGAAGAAAUUUGGUCUGCCAUGCAAUGCACCGCGGUCCGCAGAUGUUGUUUUUUUCCUUUCCUUGAAUGGCGAAUCAGUAAGGCCUUGUCUGGUACUAGUGUAUUUUAGGGAAUUAGUGGGGAUUAUCCCAGUCAACCCCCUAAAUCCCCACAUAUCCCAUAACACUAUUUGGUUUUAGUGUAUUUAACAUGUUUCAUCCUCACAUUUCCCCACAAAUCCUCAAAUUCUAGUGCAUUAUUCUCAAUACACAAUACACUACCCCUAGCUAGUGGAUUGGGGAUAAAUGAGGAUUUGAAGGGAUUGGGUGAAGGUUGGGAUUUCGCUCAAUCCCUAUAAGGAUUAUCCCCACCAAUCUUCUCAAAAACCUUAGUACCAAACAAGCGUAAGGGAGGAAGAAGGCUGAGAUAAAUCAUAGCCCUGUAUCUCCAUUUGUAGCAAUAAUGUAUAGUGAAGAAAGAAUGUGCAAUGCUCCCAUGUGUUUCUUUCAUUAAUUUGUACUAGCUUCUGUAGUGCCUGGCCUAUGAAUCAAUUGUACUAAAACGGACCAAUCUUUUGAUUCACUCUUGUCAGUAUGGACAUCUAUUUUCAUCGUCCACAAUUCUUAUUUCGUUGCAACACCAUCGUAUCACAACCUGUUGACUGCUGUGUUGUUGGAUGUCACACUGAAUGCCUGUUCAUGCAGAGUAGUUUGGACUGGAAGAUAUUUUAAAAAUCUACUCCAGUAGACAUGAGUCCUCUAAUUUAAAAAAAAUCUAUUCCAAAUUUCCAAUAGAUACAAAGAGAAGUGGAAAAGAGUAGAACGACCCACGCGAAUGAAAACAAGAUUUUUUUUUUGAAAAGGAGGAACUUAGCCCCGGCCUCUGCAUCAAUUGAUGCAUGCAGCCAUCUUAUUAAAAUAGGUUCAAAACAAUGUCUUAGCUCCACAAGUUUUUGAAGCUCAAUAAUGAAAAGAAAGAUAAAAUGAAAAGCAAACUGCCAUAUCCGGCGUCAUUAAAAGCAGACUACGAUGCCUAUACACCUAGUCUAUUAUUAGCACGCCAUCCAAACCGGCUGAAGAUAGCCCGUGCGACCAUCUCCCAUCGGUUGCAUCCAAUAUCCAUAAGCUCCCUGGAGUCCGCAUGACUGAGUAACGACCACGUAUGGAUCCAAGACGCCGCUCUGAAGAUAAUCUGUAAAAAGUUGUUGAAGUUCUUGCCAUUAAAGAUGAUAUCAUUCCUGGUAUUCCAUAUAGCCCAAAAUAAAGCACAAACCCCAAUUCUGAUAAUUUUCGAUAUUUUAAUGUCCACUUCAUUGAGUCACGUUGUAAGUAACGAAGUAAUGUAUGAAGGAGGGGAAACAUUAAAGGCUAUAUGAACAAUGCGCCAUAGUAGUUUUGCAAGAUUGCAGUCUAGAAAUAAGUGUCUUAUUGUUUCAUUGUUAUCACAACAACAACAAUUAGGUCUCCCUCCCAUCUUCUUUUUAUUAAGUUAUCUUUGGUUAAUACCACCCCUUUGUGUAUGAACCACAUAAAAAAUUUAAUCGUGAGAGGCACUUUGAUAUUUCAAAUAUGUAGUGAUUUGGGUAGUGGUCCGGUGUUAAUGAGAUGCGUGUACAUGGAUUUUACUGAGAAUUCACCAUUCGCAGCUAAAGUCCAGCGAACACUAUCUGUCUGGUCAGAUAAUUGUAUGUGCAUCAGUCUGCUAACCAGAUGUAACCAUUCGUUCCAGCGUGCUCCCAGCAAAGCUCGCCUGAACUGCAUAUUAAGAGGUACCGACUGUAGUACCGUAGACACAUAGUCUUGUUUACAUUGUGCAAUAUUAUAAAGCAUUGAAUAUUCUAGUGCUAAAGGAGUGUCCCCAAGCCAAGUAUCUUCCCAAAAUCUUGUUGAGGUACCAUCCCCAACCACAAAUUUGACCUUCUGAAAAAAGUGACCUUUAUCUUCAUUAACCGUUUCCAGAAUGGUGAGUCGUUUGGUCUAGAUGUAACCUGCGCUAGUGUCUUGGAAUGUAAGUACUUAUUCCUUAAUAUUUGAACCCACAUCCCCUCGGUCUCUGUGGGAUAUCCCGUAUAGCCAUUUGCUAAGUAGGCAUUUGUUAUUUACUUUCAGAUUUUCUAUUCCCAAAACCCCUUGAUAUAUUGAUCUACAUAUAAUAUCCCAACGUGUCAACCUGUAUUUCUUCUUAGCCUCCUCACUUUUCCAGAAAAAAUGAGAUCUGUAAAAAUCUAAUCUUUUUCGUACCCCUAUUGGUACUUCAAAGAAAGACAAUAGGAACAUGGACAGACUUGUUAACACAGAGUUUAUUAGUACUAGCCUCCCCCCGUAAGACAUAAGCUUGCCCUUCCAGCAACUUAGUUUUAUUUCGAACCUAUCUUCAAUACAUUUUCAUUCCUUAUUCGUCAGACUUUUAUGAUGAACAGGAAUCCCCAGAUAACUAAACGGUAGUGAUCCCAUUUCACAUCCAAAUAGCCGUCUGUAAGCAUUUUGCUCCUCUUUUGCCUUCCCAAAGCACAAGAGUUUGCUUUUAUUGAAAUUAAUUUUCAGCCCCGAAAGAUGUUUAAAUAAACAUAAAAGUAGUUUCAUAUUCCUCGCUUUAGCCAUAUCGUGUUCCAUGAAAAUUAUCGUAUCAUCCGCAUAUUGUAGUAAUGAUACACCCCCAUCUACCAGAUGCGGAAUAAGGCCUCCCACUUGACCCUUUUCUUUGGCCCGAUUAAUGAGUAUUGUCCACAUGUUUGCUACAAUGUUGAACAACACUGAGGACAUGAAAUCAUCCUGUCUUAAUCCUUUGUGUGUUUUAAAGAAAUGGCCAAUGUCAUCGUUAACUUUAAUCCCCACACUGCCUUUCUGAAUGAAAGUAUCAACCUGAUCUCUCCAUCUUUCAUUGAAUCCUUUCAUACGUAAGGCCUGUUGAAGAAAUGGUCAUUUCACUUUAUCAUAUGCUUUUUGGAAAUCCACUUUAAAGAUAAUCCCAUCUAGUUUCUUUGAAUGAAUUUCGUGCAGCGUUUCAUGCGGGACAACAACACCCUCUAAGAUGUGUCUCCCGGGCAUAAACGCCAUCUGCGUUGGUUGGACUACUGAAUGAGCUAUCUUCGUUAACCUAUUCGUGUCAACCUUUAUAAAAUUAUUGAAGUUGACAUUGAGCAAACAUAUCGGUCUGAACUGCUCUAUGCGUACAACCUUCGUCUUCUUGGGCAAUAACGUAAUUGUUUCAAAGUUAAGAUGUAAUAGCUGUAACUGGUCAUUAAAUAAAUUUUGGAACAUAGGCAAUAAAUCUUGGAAUGAAAACAAGAGUUGAUGUCUCUUUUUCUAAUAGAUACAGAGAGAAGUGGAAUAGCAUUGUAUCUCAACCUGCUGACUGUUGUGUUGUUGGAUUUUGAUGUCGCUCAGACUGGUUGCUUGUUCAUGUGGAGAAAGAGGAUUGAAAAUGUUUAUUCCAAUAGAUAAUAACAGAGAAAAAUGAAAAAGAGUAGAACGACACAGGCGAAUGAAAACACGAGCUGGUCUCUCUGUUUUUAGAAGAAGAAAAAAAGAGAUCUCAUGUUCUUUUUUUUAAGGCAAAAACAGAUCUCAUGUGGACUCGGUAGCCAAUCUUGGGCUAUUAUCCGUGGGCCUGACUUACGGGUCUGGGCCUUGCAGGGCUAUUCGGGCUCUUGUUGGUCCUGUCAUCGUUUCCCUUGGAAAGAAAAGAAACCCUCCAGUCGUCGCCGGUGACGAGGUCCACAAAAUACACAAGGCGGGGGCCGGCGACGGAAGCUAUGGGCUCUGGAUUCUCCUGCGUGAUCUCCGCACGCGACUCCACUCGGUAAGCCCUCCUUCUCUUCCUGGCCGGCGCACGGACCUACAGUUAUUUUGCAAUAUUUGGGAAGGAUUCCUCUGUUUCGUCAUUUUUUUUCUUCGAAAAUCUGCCCCUAGGAUCUCUAUUUUUCAUUAAAAAGGAAGAGGGUUGUCCGGUUGAUAAACGAAAAACGGGCUAAAACCGUUACAACAACCCACACAUGGCAAACCGGCGGACUACAAAGGCUGCAGAGAAGAACCACAAAGUCAAGGUCGUCAGGGUUUCGAUGCAAGCUUCAGAUUCAGACUGCCUGUGUUGCAUGCUUUUAUAGAAAGAAAGAAUAACUGACAGAGUAGUAAAGCUCAUUUGCCCUUGCCGGUGACCAAAUCAAAGAAUCGCUUCAGCCUCGGACUUAAUCCUUUCUUGUCCUACCUAUCAGAAGCAAGCAGACAAGGUGUUCUAAAGCUGAAGCUGCACUUAAAAGGUGACUCACAUCACCUUCAGAAUCAGCACUGCCACACGAUUCCUUGUGAUGGUUACCCCUUGCCCACUAAUUCCUUUCCUCUGUUUACAGAAAGGCAUGCUACCGGAGGCGAGCAAGCAUAUAUGCACAAAUGCUUUGCUUCAUCACCCCACAAAAAGAGAAACAGAAUACGUGUUGCCUUUGUUUUCUUGCCUUGUAGUGUUUGCACCAAACAUAGGAUCAACAAAGCAUCAAUAACUCUCACUGUUUGCAUAACAAGAAUUUUAUCAGCUCACUGCUAGGUGCCGAUCGAUGAUGGAUUAAUUACCCCAUUACCGUCGAAUUCCAGUUGAUGAUCGACGGCAUUAUUUUGUAAUUCUGUGAAUCUUAGAAACAGGUUUGAUGUACCCAGCGGCAUCGGGUACUAUACAUGUUGUGUAGUAUUAGUGGUGCCCGUCACGAGAUUUAAUAAUGCAAGUCUUUGCUUGUUCUCCCUGUUUCGCAUCUGUAAAUUUUAAGCUUCUUGCACCUAUAAAUAUCGCCUCCCAAGCUUCUUGCAUAUCCGCCAUCUACCCUCUCUGAUAACAACACUUUGCAGUGCAGUGUGGCCUGACCUCCGGUUCUCCUGGUAAGCAUACAUGAAAUUAUUUUCAAUGAACAUUAGUACUCCAAACCCUAGCGAAUAGAUUAAAUUCAAAAUAGGUUCCAAACUCCAACAUAGACUUGGUGCAUGAUUGAGAGCCGAGUCUUGUUUCUCUAUUCACUGGGAUUAGUUUAAUUCAUAUAUCACUUUCCUCCUCUUCUGUUCUCAUGAAUGCUCGUGCCUAUAUAUAGCCUCCCUUCUGCUACGCACAACUCCCACACACACACACAUCUGCCAUCCAUCUGCCCAAACCCUCUCCGACUUUCUGCCAGUACGUGAACUCAGCUGUGAAGACAUUCGAAGUUCUUACCGUUGGCGACCCGGCACGCGGAAGCGCAAGUGUAUGUAUGCCGUUCUACUUUUUUCUCUGGUAGUGGAUAUUAAAUAUUAAUGAAUCCAUAUUACUGUCUGGUUAUGGUGACUAACUGCAUUUGCAAAUGAAUUCAUCUUCUUGAAUAUGCAGCAUACGUGAAGAUCGUUACUGGUACCACCUGUGCGGGCGUGAGAGAUGGAUCUGGCCCUUAACGCGGCGCAGUGGGUGGUUGGCAAGGCGCUUGCCCCAGUUGCCGAUGGCUUGCUCCAGUCUUGGGCUGGCAGCAACCAGCUCGGACCCAACAUGGAGGCUCUCAGAAUGGAGCUGCUACUCGUGAAGGCCACGCUGGAAAAUGCCGGUGACAAGCAGCUCGACGGCCGCCAAGCCCUCGAGGAGCUGCUGCAAAAGAUGCAGGACUUGGCUCAUAAUGCUGAGGACGUGCUUGACGAGCUGGAUUAUUUCCGCAUCCAUGACGAGCUCUAUGGCACCUGUGACGCUGCCAACGAGGACACUAGAGGUUGUGGCCACAAUGUCCUCCUGAAUGCACGCCACACCGCCAAAGCUGUUGGCAAGCUGCUUUCGUGUACAUCCGCUUCUACCUCUGGUGAUCACGUAGAAGAAGAUGCAACACAUCGUGUUCUUUGCUGCGCUCCACCUCGUGCCAGGGAGAGAGCACGCGGCAGUUCCUCCUCAGCGGCUGGUGAGGAGGUUAGCAGCCGCAUGAGCAAGUUUGGUAAAUUCUUCCCUUGCUCUUCCAUUCCAAAAGUUCAUGAUGAUGAUGAUUCUGGCAACUCAAUCCUUUCUGGUGUCCACGCACGCAAGGUACCACAGAACAACCCCGCUAACGAAACAACAAUCUUGAGAUUUCAUAGGGUGGAUGUCUCUAAUAGAAUGAAACAAAUUGUAGAGCAACUACGACCCAUGCGUCAAGAGGUUACAACCAUCCUGCGGGAUUGUAGGCUUAGAAUUGCUGCAGGCCCUGCCCAUAAUCGUCCCACCACAACCUCCGAAAGUCUAGAGCCAAAAUUGCAUGGGAGAGACCAUAUGUUGAAUAGCAUCAUCCAUGACAUUACUAAGGGUAAAUAUUGUGGGAAGGAUCUGACUGUGCUUCCACUGGUUGGCCCGGGAGGCAUAGGAAAGACAACUCUCACACAAUACAUACAUAAUGCACAAGAAGUGCAAAACCAUUUUGAGGUAGUGGUUUGGACAUGUGUAUCUCUAGAUUUCAACCCGAAUAAGUUGCUAGAAGAGAUUAAAGGAAAAAUCCCUAAUGUUGAAGGGGAAAAGGAGGGUGAAGUAGGGAAGGUGAUUGAACAAAGACUAAAAUCUAAAAGGCUUUUACUUAUACUGGAUGAUAUGUGGAAAUGUGGUGAUCAGGAGGAUUGGGAAAGGUGGUUGUUGCCAUUCAAAAAAUCACAAACAAAAGGUAGCAUGAUUCUAGUCACAACUCGGUUUCAAGCGCUAGCAGAAACAGUUAAAACAACCGGUCGUUAUAUAAAACUGGGAGGGUUAGAACCGCAAGAGUUUAGGAAGUUGUUCCUAGCAUAUAUCUUCGGUGAUGAGGAUUCUACAGAGGAUCACACUUACUUGCUCGAGACUGGAGAUAAGAUAAUAGAAAAACUAAAGGGAUCGCCUCUUGCGGCAAAAACUGUUGGUAGAUUACUGAGAGAUCACCUGGAUUUGCAUCAUUGGAAAAUGGUCCUUGAAAGUAAAGAAUGGGAGACACAAACUGGAAACCAUGACAUUAUGCCUGCCUUGAAACUUAGUUACGACUAUCUCCCUUUCGAUAUCAAACAAUGUUUUUCCUAUUCUGCAUUAUUUCCUGAGGAUUACAAGUUCCAUAGCAAACAGCUCAUUCACUUCUGGAUAGGACUCGAUAUUUUACAUUCUAGUGGCGAAACUAGAACAAAGGAAGACAUAGGUCUGAGAAAUUUAAAUUAUUUGGUCACCCAUGGUUUUUUCAGAAAAGAAGAGACCAGUGGAGAGCCAUAUUAUAUUAUCCAUGACCUACUACAUAAUUUAGCAUUGAAGAUCGCGUCUCAUGAAUGUCUUAGCUUGAAUUUUCCAAAUGUAAGAUCAAUAGGAAUUCAUCCAUGCACGCGUCACUUGUCGGUAAUUAUAGAUAUUGUAGAUUGUGAUAAAGCAAUGGCUAGUGAAAACAUCGAGACUGAACUGAGAAAACUAAAGACGAGAUUCAGCGUUGAAAAAUUGCAAACUUUGAUGGUGUUUGGAGAAAUGGAUGAAAGCAUUGCUAGUAUUUUUGGUGAUUUUCUUAGGGAAGCAAAUGCUCUCCGUGUUCUUUUCUUCUCCAAAAUGUGUAUUCCUGUUGAGUCUAUGUUACAUAACUUUUCAACACUUGUCCACCUACGAUACCUAAGUCUAGGGACCAUGCUUAAGAUGUACUUACCAGACACAAUAUCUAGAUUUUAUCAUUUAAAGAUUUUGGAUCUAGAAGAAUGGUGUGGAUAUCAUGAUGUGCCCAGAGACAUGUCCAACCUUGCAAAAUUAUGUCAUAUUCCUACACAACGUGAUGAGCUUCAUUCUUGUAUUUAUAAUGUGGGAAAAUUAAAACUCUUACAAGAGUUAAAGGCAUUUAAAGUCAACAAAGAAAAUGAAGGGUUUGAACAAAAGCAACUUGAGGAUUUGGUCGAGCUAAGGGAACUUGGCAUCUACAACCUUGAGAAAAUACAUACACAAGAAGAAGCAGCCAAAGCAAAACUGAUAAACAAAAACUACUUGCGUGUUCUAACAUUAUCUUGGGAUAGUGAGCAAACUAAUGCUAAGCCUGAGGAUGAAGGUCUGGUUCUUGAGAGUCUUCAACCACAUAGAAAUCUCCAAGAGUUGUACAUUAGAGGGAACAAAGGCCCUUCUUGUCCAACAUGGCUGGGUGAUAAGCUCGAUGUUGAAGCUCUAAAGUCUCUUCAUCUCUUUCGUGUUUCUUGGGAUGUCUUUCCUUCUUUUGGGAAGAUGUGGGAUCUCCGCGAACUAACACUCAAUCAUAUUUCCACAAUAAAGGAGUUUGGUCUAGAGGAAAGCCUCUGCAAGUUAUUAAAGAAGAUUACACUCACCGGCUUAGAAAAUUUUGAAAAAUGGGUACCACAGCCCACUCAUUUCUUCCCCCAUUUGCAAGUACUGAUUAUCAUAGAUUGCCCUAAACUCUCAGAGUUGCCAUUUUCAUGUCACAUUGUUUACCCACUGAAACAAGACUGGAACACAGAUUGGUUUCCCAAACUACAAGAGCUUAAGAUUGAAAAUUGCCCUGAAGUCUUGCUACUGCCUCCUAUCCCUUGGACCCAGUCUUUGUGCUUUGUCAAGAUAAAUGACGUGGGAUCAAAACUACUACACGAUUUGGUCUACUCAAAAUCAUCUUCUGGAGUAGCAUUGAACAUUCAUGGAAAGGAUGGUCUACUUAGCUUUGAUCAGCUGUUACUAUUCAGUCAACUAACCGAACUUCAGGAGUUGAAUAUCUAUAACUCCCCACCUUUGGAGUUGAAGUAUUUUCUAAUGCUAACCUCAUUGAAGACAUUGUUGGCAUGGUCUUCAAAUCUUGGGGUGGUGCCAUCAGAAGUUCAGAGUGGUGUCGAAUGGCAGCAUCCUGUUGACGAGAUUAAAAUUUGGUCUUCUGAUUCUAGUGGAAAGGAAUUGUCACAGUUCUUGUCUCACCUCCCAAAGCUAUCCAAACUGGAAGUAAAUUCUUGUAAAAACAUAACACAGUUGGCUGUGGGGGUGGAUUUGCAGCAAACAACAGUACCAGUAGUGUCAUCGUCAAUCUCUUUAGAUGUUAUUACAAUGGAUGAUACACAAACACAAGUGAAAGUUGAGCAGCAAGAAAUAGCAGAGGUGGAGAAGGAGGAGGCAAACACGGUGGAUGAUGAUGGGCUGUUGCUCCUCCCUGCACAUCUCUCCAACUCUCUGCAGGAGUUGGCCAUCGACAGUGGUAAUCUGGUAGUUCAUUCUUUGAAUGCCCUCAAAGCCCUAACUAGACUUGAGUUAAAAGAUUGCUCUUUUCGCCACCCUUUCCCGUCCUGCCUGCUAGACCUGGAACUUUCGUCCGUGGAGGGCGUGCUGACCCUUUCAAACCUCACCUCUCUCACUCGAUUAGAAAUAUAUCGUUGCGGAGAGGAUUUUAGAUGCGAGGGCCUGUUGCCUCUCCUUACUCGGGGCCACCUCAGCAGUUUAGAAGUCAUUGGAAGCCCCAAUUUCUUUGGUGGGUGGGAGUGGGAUCCCAAUGCCAUGUGGGGGAGGUCCUCCAAACUGCAGAAGGUCGAGACAGAUGACAUCCAGGGCUUCCUCGGUGCGCCCGCCCUCUGUAGCCUCCUCUCUUCCUCCCUCAGCGCCUUGCACUUUAGUUGGAACGAUGAGACAGCGCACUUCACAAACGAGCAGGAGGAGGCCUUUCAAUGCCUCACCUCGCUCCAGGUACUCUACUUUUGGUUUUGUCAUAAGCUGGAACACCUCCCUGCAGCGCUAAACAAGCUGACCAACCUCAAGAGAUUAGUAAUCUGCGGUUGUCCAGCCCUCCGGUCGCUGCCCAAGGACGGCCUCCCGAGUUCACUGCGAGAAUUAGAUGUCGAGGAUUGCGUCAACAAGGAGCUAACAGAGCACUGCAGGCGGCUAAUGGGAACCAUCCCGAAAAUCAGACUAUAGACCAAUCCAAGGUACGUAACAGAUAAGUACUUCCCGAUUCCCGAUUUCUACAAUUGCCCUUGCUUUUUUCAGGUCCCAAACAGGCCAUUUGCGUAUUCUGAACAUUGAUUGUUUCCAUCAAGCGUGCAGCUCGUCUCCCUGUCUCGGAAUUGUACACUCUUAUAGCCUUGUCGAAUUCCCUCCAUCUCUGGACAGUUGGCGCAUAGAUCUAUGCACAUAGAUCUGGUAAGUAAAUGCAAGAUGGAUUUUGCUAUUUUUACUUAUUUUUGUUGUUUCAUAUGUUGUAGGUUGCCAUUGUACGUUCUGUAUAUAUAUAUCUUUUCCACUUUGGAUAUAGGUAAUUCCAGCCCAAACAAAUUCAUGACACCUUUUCUAUGUGAAUUUAUAGUUACCUAUUUAUUUUAUUUGUCUGACAAAAAUUCUACCAAUUCUCUUAAUUUAAAUCACUGCUCUUGAGUGCAUAAUUUUUGUUACCAGUAUAAAUGAUCAGCACUCCAAAUAGUGUGUUUCUAGCAGAAUAAUACGCAGAAGUGAUUUUUUCCCCGCCUGUGCAACAUUAUCCUUGUUAGAGCUUAUCUUGUUUUCUUUUUGGCAUAGCACAUGACUAGUUCUUGUUUCCAUAUAUUAGAUGGCGCCUCAUGCACAGAUAACUUUAUUGAUAACCUCUAACUAGUCCACUACUAUGAUUUUAGUUGCUUUCUAUCCCUAGCCAUAUGAUGUAUUCACCAUUUGUUUUGGCAUGAUCUGCAGGUUUCCUCAUCAAAUCGACGGAUAGAGGAGCAAGGUUGAACGUGAAAUUUGUAGUCUCUUCAGUGUUAGUUCAGAGGAGCACUGGAUCUACAGGGACUUUGCAGAGAGCGGCAGUUUCAGAACAGUUCGGUUUUGAGAAAGGGCCAUUUGAGGGGUGAACAAAGUGUUAUGAUGGAACAUUUAUAGGUUGUAUAGCAGUGAUGCUCUCAGUGCUUGUUUUGGCAUUGAUUUCCGAGAACUAAGCACCAUGUUGCAUCAUCGAGGAGCUGGAACAACAGUUCAUCAGGAACUAUCCUGGAAAUCAUACUAGAGCACUAGACUAAUCCAAGGUAAAAAAGAAAAGCUUCCCUGUCUGCUCAUCCAAAUACCCAACAUUACCUUGCUUUUUAAUGCUCUCACAUAUCAAGUCAUAUUUUGGAUCGGCUUACCUCAUUACUGCAAAAUCUGAACACUGUUUUUCUAUCUACUUUACAGGAUCUCUUGCGACUUUUGAGGAGUUGUACAUUUUUUAGCCUUGUCCAGUCCUCCCUGUUUAUGCAAAGUUCGCACAUGUGGAUCUUUUUGUGGCGUCUUCUUACUGUACAUCAUACAUAAAUCUGGUAAGUACAUGUUCAACUCCUUCAAUGAUAUUAGAGAUAACUAGAUGUUUUUUCUUGAACCGAGAAAUAUAAAAAAAAUUAACUUGAUCCUCAGCUGAUGCCAUUCAGAAUUUCCUUCUCUUCCUUCAUGAAUGAUUUUAUUAUGAAUUCAAAAAUUUAUUUGUUGUGCAGGUAUUCUUAUGCUUGUUCUGGUUGGUUUCGAGAUAUUGGUCAUCAUUCACUAAAACUUGCUGGUGUACUUGUUAAGCUGUGAGGAUCAUAAUGGGGGAAUAACUGAUAUUUUGCUGAUUUGCUAUUGAAACUAAGGUGUGCAGUUUCUUCAGUUCGAUGCUAUAUUGAUAGGAUAGGAGAUGUACCUGCAUUUUUCAUAAGAUUUGUUGCUAAAUGAAAUUUUGUUAAUUACAGGAACUUUUUACAAUAAUACUUUUCUUACCAUGUGAGUGCUUGCGUGGAGCAGAUUGAGAUCUCGGGCUUUCACUAAAUGGUAUGCCUUGUCUAUUCACACUCUUACAAAAGUAUAAAAGGACUCGUGUAUUUGUCCUACGUUCCGAACUUUUUAGACUGAACUAAGCUUCUUGGUUGCUCAAUAGACGUGGUCGGUGGACAACUGGGAAUUCAACAAUGCAGCGGUAGCAGAUUUGUGGAAAGGUCAGUAAACCCCUGCUGAAAUUCGUGAUGGGUUUAGCUAUGGUAGAUUGAAUUCAGUGUGCAAUUGUCGAACUCUUAUUGCCUCGUGAGACCUAGGUUAGAGAACUUCCUGCUUUCUUGAUAAGUUAGCAGUCUAGCUUUUGAGCACGCUCAUAAUCUCUGAAUGCAUUGUCAUGCUGAAUUAAGUUACACAAGAGAGUUUUCAGCUGAUACAUAUAGUUGUAAAGGUAGAGAACACUUGUUACUAGGUGAUUGAUGAAAAAGGCUCGAGCUUGCUAAUUUUUAUUCCUAGAACCUCCGGAGUAUUUUUCUGUCCCACCAAUGCCAAAAAUAGCAUAUUUCAUUAGCCAUUGACUAUUGCAAUCUGAAUUUUUAGUGCGUAUUGUUAAGUUUGAUGUUCCUCCAGUCUGAAGUCUUUGAAAUCCAGUCAUUCCAUCAUCGGGAUAUCACAACCUCUGCCAGUGUACAUAUACAAAUCCCAGAAAAUAAUCCAUUCCUUCCAUUGCACAUCUCUCGCUAUCCCACAGUAGUUGAUUAUUCCAUAAGCAUACUCAUCAAGUUAAAGAAGACUCAAAAGCACUUUGUUGUCAUUGACCUUGCAAAUUUCAACAUUAUGAGGAGCUAUAUAUUCGUCAAUAUUGAUGCCUCUCUCCAAAAAAUCAAAAAAUAAAUGAAAGAAAAAGAGUGAGGGUCACCGUUCAAAAGAUCAAAGGUUCACCCCCAAGCAGGAAGAAAUAGUCAGCACUGCUUCCAUAUUCAUGUGCAGAAUGCAGAAUGGCUAAUCAAACUACUACCUAUGCAAUAUUGACAGCUUGAGCAUCAGUCGCAUCCUGAGAUCACCUUGCAUUGCGUAGGCAUCUCAAUUAUUUCUUUGGCGUGAGUCCAUCCCUCCCACAUCCCCUGGACAGUGGACGCUACCUUUCCCCAAUGACUGGAAUGUGGAGACUUCUUUGUACUGGAGUUGAACUCUUAUUUAGCUUUACAAUCUAGAGUUCAGAUUUGCUCAUUCUUUGAAUUACCCAACCAAGCUCCAUAUAAGCUUUCCACAAAUAUAAAGUAGAUACAAAACACUUCGGCCACUGGCCAGUGAGGACUAUCAUUAUGUGAUGAGAGUAAUUCCGGAUCAUGACGAGGUAAUCUCACUAGAUACCUGCUCUUCGAAGGUUCAGAAUGGAAUAAAAUUGUUGGCUGCUCUUGUGCUCUUUUGUUCUUCAAAUUGAAGUCAAACAUCGUAGUGACUUGUGUUCAAAAACUGGAUUACUAUAUCGUUGAUGCUGUUCACUCUCAUAAAAUGGAACAUAUUCCGUACUGGCAAUGAAUAGGAGUUAUUAUUUAAGCUUGUGCUCAAUUGUUAGCCUGCUUCUUUGAUAAGUCUGUGGGAAGUGUCUCUGUCUGAAGCUCAUGAGGAUUAUAGUAAUUGUUUGCACAUGAGCACUUGUUUGCAAUCUAGCUAUGCUAAUCUUUCAGGUAGUAUUUCACAAGCAUGCGGGCAAGUUGAAUCAGGAGCCUAAAUCAUCUGGCUGCCAUUGGCUGCGAUCCGAGACUCUUCUUUCUCAAGGGAAGAAUCAGAAAGGGAGAAGACUGAGAUGAAUCAUACCCAUCCUUUUGUUUAUCUUUGUAGCUACUUGCUUCAUAACAAUGUUAUAAGGAGGAGAGAAUGGGGUUUCCCACUUAUUAUUUCUCUUCUAGCUUCAGUCUGUAGUAGCUAUCGAUGAAUGGUACGAAAACAGGCCAAAUUUUUCAUUCAUUCUUUUCAGUGUGGACAUCUAUAUUCAGUAUAAUGUGCAAUAUCUUCAUAUCUGAAUCUAUGCUUGCAUGUCACAGUGGUUACCUGUGCUAAAAUAUAAAUAAUGCCCCUGUUAUUGUUCAUUGCAAAAGCUUGGCCUUUCUUGGUCUCUUUGGAUAUCCAAUUGCCUCUCAAGAACUGUGUUGGUGUAUGUUGGAUUAUUCACCCUGUUUUCUCUCUCUGAGAAAUGGAUCGUCCGAUCUAAUUUUAGCAGCACAAGAAAAUAUAAGAUGUGAUUUUUGAAUGUAUAACUAAUUGGUAUGUCAGUAUGUGUUUUGACUUGCAAUGGAUUAUGAUGGAUCUCUCCAUAAGAGAUUCUUAUCCACGGCGAUCUCUUCUUCUGAAGUUAAAAGUGGAGAGUUUUGGGGCAUUGAUCUCUAGCACUUCACAUAUCUGUCACCUGAAGGUUAUGGAGCUGUUGCUGCAUUGAGCUACUCAUCUUUGACUUGACGCAGAUUGUAAAUCAUGCCAACAGAAAAACUACCGCAUGCAUUGCUAUUUUCUUUUUUUUUGCAAGUGGUAUGCAUUUUUGUUAGAUGUGUCUCUGCAAUUGGUAAAGCAAAAGCAUGAAGAAGUUGUAUACGUCACCAGGGUUGUUCAACUCAUCCUCUCUGAUCUAACUCUGAGGCACCAUCUCUUGCCGUGUUUGUGUGUCCUUUUUCUAGAACAACGGUGUGUUUGUGACGCUCUUUUUGUUUUUUGAGGGGUCUCCUAUGUGACAUUAACAAUCACGUAGUCAAGCGAGCGACGCACACAGCGCUUCCAUCAUUGGCCGGCAUGUGUGCUCUAUUUCAUAGGUAAGGUUUUUUUUCAUAAAAACAUGACUCUUUUUAAAAAAUGAAUAAAUUUUAAAAUAACUUUAAAUAUUUCUAAAAAGUGUGGGAAUAGUUAAAAAAAUUACUUGACCAUUUCGAAAAUUAUGCAAAUAUCUUUUUGAAAUUACAAAUACUUUUAAAAUUUUGUGAAUAAUUUAACAAAUAACNUCAGGGAAAAAAUUAUAUUCCUAAAAGUUUACUUCUUAAAAAUAAAAAUGAAAAUGACAACAACAUAAAAUUAUAUCAAAUCAAAUAUAAUAAGUGGAAGAUAAAACAAGAAAGUGAAAAAAAAUUAAAGAAGGGAAACCACGAAAACCACUCAGAAAACUACUAGCGAAAAGUGUCAUAUUGCCUUAGAGAGCGCCUAUUUUACGCUUCUAGCGACAAGUUGUUGCUAUAGUACAUGAUCACUACCAUGGGCCAACCCAUUAGCUUUCCUGUGUUACUCCUUGCUUAGAAAAAGUAAGCUCUCACUCGUAGAGAAAAGACCUGUUAAAAACCGGUUGGUGGGUCCUAUUUCUCUUUAUGAAAUGUAAAUAUUUAUAUGUUGAUAUAAUAUUGGUCGUGAUAAACUUCAAGAUACAAAUAUUGAGAGCUCCUUAGAAAUAAUAAUUAGGUAGAAGUACCUUAAGGCGAUUUGCAAUAAUUUUGGAGGCUACAUGCAAGACUAGACUCACACCUAUGUGGAAUGGAUGCCUCGACUUGGUCAUCAUGGACCAGCAAGUCCAUUUGAGAGAUUUUUUUAGUAAUACAGCUUAUCCGAGUGAGUUUUAUGGACUCGUCGGGCGAGAAGCUUCUCAAGCACAAGCAUUUGCUUUUCUAGUUAGAGACCAAGAAAAGGGAUUAAUAAUCCUACAACUAGAACCAAUUAGUGAACUUUAUGAUCAAAGACUGAAAAUGGAAUGACCCAAUGCCAAUUUAUUGGAAUUCUACAUGGCAUAUUUCCUAACCUUCAUUCUUGCUAUUCCAGUCUCUAGUGCUCACUCAAUGACCUAUUGCCCACUCUGCUUUUCCACGUGGGCUAAGAGAGGCUACGUGAGGCUAAGAAGAGUGUUCCCCCUUCAUAAGUGAAAGUUGAAAUGCAGUAUAUGGUCUAGAUAUAACAUCCCCUUUAAUGAAUUCCUUUAUGGUCAAGAUAAAUAGGUAAAGCUAGCUUUGAAGGUAAAUUCAAAAGGCAAGUAAGAAGUCAUAGGAAUGUUCGAAAAGAUGGCUGACAUAACAAGCCAUUGAGACUCCUUUUGAAGGCUUAUUCCAUCAAGUUAUGUAAAUGAGGUGUUAUCGAUUUCCAUAGGGUACUUUUUCUUUGAGAAACUACAUAGGUUUUAGGCUUUUCAAACAAGGAAAGUCCUAUAAUACGCACAUUGUGUUAAAUUGUCGUUAUUUCGCACAGAAGGGAGGGAACGAGUAAAGUAAAUGGGCUGGCCCAAUUCGGUGUACUAUAUAUGCAUCCUAUUGUUAUCUUUACCAGUUUUCUUUUUGUUACUUUGUUAUUUCACAUUUUAUUUUAUUUUAAACUCAGACGACCUUCAACNAUUUCAAAGAGCGACCACAUGUGCUAGAAGUCAACAAUUUGACGCAAAGAGCGACAAAUAGAGGAGCUUCUGUUUAACAUGUAGAGUGUUUAAUAGAAAGCAAUAGCUCACCUCACAUAUGUGGUGGGCCGACCCAAUGGACAAAUUUUAUUCAGUUCGAGUAUAGUUGUUGCUGCUAAUGCUACACUACUAAUUCAUGGGCUUUUUAAAAAUGAUCAAAACCCCUCUUUAUUACUUUGUGAUCAGAGUUACAUCGGUUCACCAGGAGAGAAUAAUUGAGCUCGCUAGGAGCUCCUCAAACAAACUACUACAUGCCGCCCCUUUGGCCAAAUAUGCUAGCUCGUGAGCUACAUUAUUGGCCUCCCUCGGGAAGUGUACAAAAGAUGUACAAGGGAAUUCACAUGCCGUGUGAUAGUAGUCGUAAAAAAUGGCGACUUGGAGACCAGCCUCCUUCACUCAUUGUAUUAAUAACCACCAUAUCAUCUAAGUUCACCAUGAUUUUAUUAUAGUCAUCUGAUUGUGCAAGGGAGAAUCCAUAACACAACGCAGUUACUUUCACAGAGAGUACAUCGGGACAAAAACUAAGCUUCCAGUUGCUUGCGUUUUUUAAGUUUACCUUAUCAUCAUGUGGAAUUGCAUGAUCUAUUGCAAUGAGAAGAUCAUGAUCAAAGGAUGCAUAUAUGUUUAGCUUCACGUGUCCCCUAGGAGGCGGCACCCAACAUCCCAAUUUCUGGACAACUUCCAGUACAACUGCACAUGUGUAAUUUGUAGUCAAAGUCCGAAUGGCGGAAGAAAUCUAAAUGACAUUUUGAAUCGGAUCCCCACAGCCACAUUGUAUCAUCUCCCUCCAUAAGUACCAACAAGCAAUAGCUAUCAUUUCGUGCAGGUUUUGUCAGACUAGACUGUCACAUUCCCGUUCUCGCAACUCAAGAAGGAUUCCAAGAACACAUUCACCUUCCUUAUCAAUUCAGGGACUUCGUAUGCUAGAUGGAACACAAGGCAGAAGGCAAUUCCCGAAGAGAUUUUUCAGAGCCACUCUCAACACAUUGCUGCAUUGGGUCUUUUAUAUCUAAGCUUCAAGGUAGGGAUAAAAAUGGAUCGGGAACUUUUCGCUUUUUGGUAGAAAAUGUAGAGAGGAAAUAUGAAAACAAUUUUUUUAAUGCAGAAACGAAAAAAAAA
rnacentral:lncRNA from 1 species